rnacentral:lncRNA from 1 species
CCAUCUUCAACCUUCUUCUUGCCAUUGAUAUUCUUUGGAGGGGAGAUUAGAGCCGUUUGAAGGGAGUUGUGAGAUCUUUCGAGAUUUCAAGGCUUCUUAGGACUUAUCUUUUAAUUUCUUACUGUCAAUUCUUUCUUUAUUUCUACUUGUGCUGAAUCAUUAUCUAAUCUAUUUUCUGUUCUUAUUGUGUUUUCAGCCUUUUUCUAUCUUAAAGAAUCAGCCCAAAAAUCCCCAAUUUCUAGGGUUUUUCCAUACUCUUUUUGGGUGAAAUUAGAUUGUCGAAAUUUGGGAAAAACUAUCUUGGUGUUCAAUUGGGCAGAAUCACAAUCUCCUUGAGGGUUUCAAGAACCCUAACACUUAUUUCUAUUCUCUAUUUGAUUCUUUACUGUUUUGGGGAUUUUAUUUCAGAUCUGAAAAUUCAAAAAUCUAAUCUUUUAAUUUUCUGUUUCGUUUCAGAUCUAAUUGUUUAGGGUUUUCGUAGGAGUUUCUCGUGACUUGGCAACUCGAUCUUGGUCCGCGCGCAACCCCGUAUCAUUUGGUAUCAGAUUUUGGGCGUUUUGGGUGUUCUUGGUUGAUUUCUAAACUGAUCUCUAUUUUUUAAAUUACAAACAGCAGUUUUACCCAGAAAAAUUUUCAAAAAAAAAUUCAUUUGAGUGGGUAAACGUUUUCUGAUUGAUCUGAAAUUUUACAUACAUAUUUUUGGCACUGCUAUUGAAUAUAAAAAAAUAUUUCCCGCAAAAAAAAAGUCGAAAAAGUCAAAAAAUUGAAAAAAUACGAAAUCUAAUAAAAAAUUAAAAAAAUAUUCAGCGGGUUGAAUUUGGUGCCCAAAUUUUCCAGAUCAAAAAUUCAAUAUUUUAAGACAUUCUAGAUUUAAUUUUGUGAUUUUUUGAGAUCGGGAACACCUCGAACGAAGUUGUCAAGUUACUCCGCAGUUUUUCGGGUUUUCUGUUUUCAACAAUUUUUAUUGAUUCUUAGCUGUAGGUUUUCAUUUGUUUGCUUUUUAUUCUCCCUUUACAAUAUCUAACACCUUCUUGUUUUUUGUGUUAGUAGGAUUUAAACGUGUGCCCAAUCCUUCCUCGGUGCAACACGAAUCACUUGGUGUCUCGUCAGUUUUUGGCAUCCUAGUGCAAAUUAGGAUUCUUUGGUAGUUUGGUUCACACUCUCUAAUUGGUUGAUAUAAACUCUGAUAAAGAACUCACAAGAUUGAAUUCGACCUCAUUGAGAAUUUGAUUUUUCUUUUUGAGUGAUUAAUGGUGAGGUUUGCUAACUUUUAUUUUUAAGUGUUGAGUGUUUAUUUUUUACAGGUUUUGAAGAUGUCUAAAGGUGAUAAUAAUGAUGCACUUAUGAAAGUCCAACAACAGUUAGACAGACAUACUGCUGCAAUCACACAAAUAAAUGCUACACUUCAAGCAUUGAAUACUACUUUGAAUGAGGUACGAGUGAAUCAAAAACAUCAAUAUCGAGAUCCAAUUAAGGAAGAUAGGGAUAACCAGCCCCAUAGGUGCAACCCUCAACGUGUCCCUAGAAUGGAUGAUGAUUGUCAUGAUCAUGGACAAUCAUCUUUGGCAAAACCAAAGAGUGAGCAGCAACGAGAACAUCUCUUUCAUACUCGCUGCCACGUACAAGGUAAGCUUUGUAGAGUUAUUAUUGAUGGUGAAAGUUGCUCGAACAUAGCCAGCACGACGAUGGUGGAAAAGCUUUGCUUAACCACUACCAAGCAUCCACAACCUUAUCAACUACAAGGGCUUAGCAACGAAGGCCAAUUUAGGGUCACUCAACAAGUGCGCAUCGCCUUUUCUAUCGGUAAGUAUCAAGACGAAGUUGUGUGCGACGUAAUGCCUAUUCAAGCCUGCCAUUUGUUGUUAGGAGAACCGUGGCAACUGGAUCGAAAAGUCACUCACGAUGGUCGUACCAAUAGGUAUUCUUUCAAGCAUCAAGGAAAGAAACUUACCUUAGUGCCGCUCACUCCGGAACAAGUCCAUGAGGACCAAAUCAAACUGAGAAAUUCUGUUAAAACAAGUGAGGAAAACGAAAAAGAGAAUGAAAAAAAGCAAAAAGAGAUUGAGAGUGAAAAGGAAUGUGAAAUAGAAAAGAAAUUUGAAAAAGAAGUUGAAGAAAGAAGAGAAAAUGAGUUAGAAAAAGAAACAAAAGAAAAAGAUGAGGAAAGGCUAGUGAGGAAUGUUUCCACUAACCAAGAUCUGAAUUUUUCUUGUGUUGCUACUUUUCAGGUUCCUGAAAGAUCAAAAGAUAACUUUCAACUUCAAUACCUCUCAAAUGAAAGACGCUUUCAUACGAUCAACUUAAGCAAAGAUGAAAUCACACUACAUAAUCCCGAAGGUAAGCGAGGUAAGGAAAUUUUAGAAACCGAGUCCAGUGCAGAUUUGAAAAUUAUUGAUAAAACUUUUGGUGACUUAGUUCUUAAAAGAUCCCCUCAUUUUGAUCCGAUUAAUUGUUACUCUUCGAUUGUGGUUGAUAAAGUCAUUACGAAAAGAAGCGUGAUUUGUUAUUCUCUUGAUUUACCUUGUGUAAAAUCCUUGAAUUUGUCCAAAUCUGUUUUGGAGAAUAAGGUAACGAAAUUUUCCAAAUUUGUUUUCAAUUUAUAUUCGUGCCUUAAACAGUUUAUGUGGUUGUACAUGAAGUUUGAGUUCCAUUUGACAAACGUUAACUCAACAACGAAGAUUCGACUACACUAUGCCCCCAAUGAGCGAAGGUUUGUUUUAAAUGAAAAAGGUAAAAUCGACCCUUAUUCUUCUGCUUAUCGAGGUAAGAUGCUUGACACCUUUGAAACACUUUUGUACUCCUCGGAUAGUGAUAAAGAUCGUGUUGAUGAACACUUAGAUCGAAACGUGCUUGACUGUCCUAUUUUAUUUAUUGAUGAUCUAUCUGUUUUGAUGGUUGAUAAAAAGAUUCUUGUUUUUGAUAAUGCAUGUGUGAGUGAAUCUAUAGACCGUCGAUUAAUGCAUGGUACGAUUAUGCAACUCUGUGAACCAUGUGAAUCUUUUCAAAUACCUACUUGUGACGAUUAUGUUUACCAUUUGAUUUAUUACUCGCAAUUUAUUCAUGGUUUGUGGGAACAAUGUGAGACGACUGAAUGCCUUAAAACAUGUCCAUCUUUGUUUCAAAUAUUUGACGAGGCAGUGGUGAGUAAAUUAGAUUGUUUGCAUGGUAAUCUGAAUCUGUCCAUUCACAUGCGUUAUACCUGUUCUGUUAUGCUUAUGAUUGGACUACAAGCUUGUUUCCGUUGCUAUUUACUAUCUCAUGGCUAUUCUUCUCAGUGGACUCAAUUGCCAUUAGUCCCGUUUGAUAGAGGAAAGUCGAGUUCAUUUGAUUUUUCAGAUUCGAGGACGAAUCUUUUUGAGGAAGGGGGAAUGAUACGAGUCACAAAAGCUCAAAUUCUUGAAGGCGAGGCUCAAUAAGCAAAUUCCCAGCCCAAUCAAGAAAUCCAUCCAUACUUAGUUGAAAAUCAGGCCAAAUUGUCAAAGUGGCCCAAGUUGUAAAGUUUUAUUUUUAUUUUUAUUUAUUUAUUUAUUUAUUUAUUUACUUAGUUUAAAUUUUUAUGUCAAUAUUCAGUCCAAGAGUCCCAGAUAAAAUGACCUUUGACCGAAUUUCCAUAUUAAAAUAAUUAGGAGUUUUUUUUAUUUUAGUUUUCUAAUUAGAUUAGGACUAAUUAUAAGGCCUAUUUAAAGGCAUGGCUGUCCACCUUGUUAAACACUUAUCAUUAUUAUUAAAAUUUUCAGAUUUGUUGAGAGCAGAAUUUUCUUUGAGUUUUCUCCAAGAUUUCUCUCUUGAGUUUUCUUUAGAAGUUGUUUUAACAAUCUUUUUGAUUGUGGGAGCCAUCUUCAACCUUCUUCUUGCCAUUGAUAUUCUUUGGAGGGGAGAUUAGAGCCGUUUGAAGGGAGUUGUGAGAUCUUUCGAGAUUUCAAGGCUUCUUAGGACUUAUCUUUUAAUUUCUUACUGUCAAUUCUUUCUUUAUUUCUACUUGUGCUGAAUCAUUAUCUAAUCUAUUUUCUGUUCUUAUUGUGUUUUCAGCCUUUUUCUAUCUUAAAGAAUCAGCCCAAAAAUCCCCAAUUUCUAGGGUUUUUCCAUACUCUUUUUGGGUGAAAUUAGAUUGUCGAAAUUUGGGAAAAACUAUCUUGGUGUUCAAUUGGGCAGAAUCACAAUCUCCUUGAGGGUUUCAAGAACCCUAACACUUAUUUCUAUUCUCUAUUUGAUUCUUUACUGUUUUGGGGAUUUUAUUUCAGAUCUGAAAAUUCAAAAAUCUAAUCUUUUAAUUUUCUGUUUCGUUUCAGAUCUAAUUGUUUAGGGUUUUCGUAGGAGUUUCUCGUGACUUGGCAACUCGAUCUUGGUCCGUGCGCAACCCCGUAUCACCAUUCAAGUAUUUUAGGCACAUUAAUGCCUCAUUCAGCCAAGGGAGAUGUAGGAUCAUUAAAGAGCUGCACAUUCAUGGAAUUAUGGAGAUUCUUCAAGGCUAAGGAUGCAUGAAUGCAUCAAGUGAAGAUCAUGAUGGUUCGGCCAAUUCAUGUACCAUCUUCAAGCAUGAACUGGAUUUUAAUGCUAUUUGUGUGAACAUGUUAAAUACCUGUGUGAACAGAAUUUAAGUUAGUGUGAACAACAUAGAUGCCGAAUAUCAAUAGGCAUUUUAGGCUUAUAAAUAGCUUACUUGUUUAUUGUAAAAGGUUACAGAAUUUGAUUAUUGAAAACUUGAUUGUGAGGUUUCCUCCUAUCCUAUUUCGUACGAGUCUCGUUCUGACUUAUCUAGCUCGCUAGUGGCGUCAACCCGACUUCUUGAACUUAUCACCAUCCUGGUGUGGCGUUCAUCCACCUUUUUAUACCUUUGGUUCCUACCUCUCUAUAGGUAACGGGUCAAGGUCCAUCUUCUACAAUCCAUUUAAUCCACCUUGAGCAAUAUAAGUCCCGGGGCAAUACUUUACAUAGUAUUGAAUCGUUCUUCGCUUGAGUUCAAUUUCCAUUCCAUUUUAUCUAUCUACUUAAACUUUAUUUUCUUUGUUAAAUCGAACCAUCCAUUCUCCAAACCAAGCCAUUUUUGAACCCUUUUAAUUACUUCUGCUUAAAACAACUCCAUAAAGUUAUCUCCAUUUGACAUCAACCAAUACUUCUCGUCGACGAUCGGGCAACUUAAGUGAACUCGACUCCAUCAACCGAGUCGGAUCACAUCAUUUGGUAUCAGAGCUACUAAAAUGAGGAGUGCCGACAUUCGUAUCAAGCUCGGAGUAGGUUCGAAACGUAAAAAAAAUCAAAAAAAAAUUUGAGUUGUAAUUUAAUUUUUUUUCCCUUGUAUUUAGCUUACUAUUGUAUUGGAGUAAAAAAAAUCAAAAAAAAAUUCGAAAAAAAAUUGAUUGAAAAAAAAUUCAAAAAAAAAAGUGAAAAAAAUCGAGCAAAAAAAAAGAAAAGAAAAAAAAGGUGAGCAAAAAAAAUCAAGUUUAAAAAAAAAGUGAAAAGUCUUGCGAGUUUUUAUUUUCUUCUCUUAUUUACUCCGAUCAUCAAGUUUCCCUUCCUACCAUUAUUUACCAUCCCAACGCCACAUUUUAAACCAAUUUUCUUCUUUAUUCAGCCUACCCUACACCCGACAUUAUUCCUUGUAACCCAUUUUGAAACCGACCCUCAAGCAGCAAAUUAAGUCUAUCGAGACGAAUUACGAAUUUGUGAGACGAGAUCGAGUGGUAAAAGGCAAGAGAGCGUGAGUUCAUUCGAAAAAAAAGCCUAAAAGAGAGUUCAAACACGAGAGUGAGUGAAUUUUUCUUUUUGAGCGAACUUGAGAGAUUUGUGGUGAGAAUUAUUUUUUCUUUCUAAUUUAACUUUUGUUUUCUAAUAUUUUGUUGAAGCAUGUCUGAAGAAUUUUCUGAAUUUGAAUUCCAAAUGUGGAGACAAGAAAUGCAAAGGAUAAUGCGAUUUGAAUUUCGACAAUUCGACAAAGAUAAAGAAGAUUUGACAUCUACUAUCGUUGACAUCAAGAUUAGUGCAAUCCUUCAAAGAUUGGAAAAUGAACCACAAUGUGAAGAUAUGUUUCACACGCGUUGCCGUGUCCACGAUAAAGUUUGUUGCCUCAUUAUUGAUGGUGGAAGUAGGUCAAACAUGGCUAGUAUUCGAACGGUAAAAAAACUUGGCUUGGCCACUACCAAGCAUCCACGACCCUAUCAACUGCAAGGACUUGGUGUUGAAGGCAAAUUUGAAGUUACUCAACAAGUACGUGUUGCAUUUUCCAUCGGAAGAUACCAAGACGAAGUCCUUUGUGAUGUUGUGCCUAUUCAAGUCUGCCAUUUGUUGCUAGGAGAACCAUGGCAAUCGGAUCGCAAGGUCAUUCACGAUGAACGUACCAAUAGGUAUUCCUUCAAGAAUCAAGGAAGGAAAAUCACUUUAGCGCCGCUCACACCGGAACAAGUGCAAGAAGACCAAUUCAAAAUGAAGAAAUCCAUUGAGCGAGAAAAGGAGAAAGAGAUUGAAAAAGAAAUCGAAAGAAAACAAAAAGAAAACGAAGAAGAAAAAGAAAUUGCAAAAGAAAAAGAAAUCGAAAAAGUGAGAGAAAAAGAAAAUGAAGAAAAGAAAAUUGAAAAAGAAAAAGCGAAAAAAGAAAUUGAAAGAGAGCUUGAAAAGAAAUCAAGUGAAAAAGAAAGAGAGUCUAAAAAAGAAACGAGUGUCAUGGAAAAAGAAAUUGAGAUUGAAAAAGGAUGUGAAAAAGAGAAAGAAAUUGAGAUUGAACAAAAGUGUGAGGAAAAAGAGAAAAUUGAAAAAGAAAGAAAAGACAAUGAGUUAGAAAAAAAAUGAGAGAAAAGGAGGCAAAAGAGCAAGAAAAAGUGAGGAAUCUGUUUACUAAACCACAUGAGAAUUUGUCUUGUUUUGUUUCCUCUUUUCAGGUCUCCGGAAGGCCAAGUGACGAUAAUUUUCAACUCCAAUACCUCUCGAAGGAGAGAAGGUUCAUUUUGGCUGAAAAAGGUAAUGUUCUCAACGAUCCUAGUUCGCCUAUGCCAAAAGGUAAGCAAGGUAUGAAUGUUGAAAAUUUUGAAGCACUUCUGCCUUACUCGAUUGUUGAUGGACACACUGUUGAUGAUUUGGUCUUUAGAAAGAAUCUAAACUUUGACGUGGCUAUUUGUCAUUCUUUGAUUGAUGAUGAUCCAUUUGUUUUGUCUAAUGAUAAGAAGAUUCUUGCUUUUGAAAAAUAUCAUUUUGAUGGUAUUGGUUGUUUAUCUUUAACUUGCAAUGGAAUGCAUGUUUUGGAUGCGCAAGAUGAAAGUCCAUAUAAAAUGUUCAUUCUCACUGAUCAUGUUGAAAAGGAAUGGAAAUGUAUUGAUGAAUAUACCAUUGGCAAGAUUUUUGAUGAAGAGCGAAUAAAUCAGCACCAACAAAAUCUAGAAUUGUGUGAUCAAAAGUUGACAUAUCAUCUGCUUGGUUGUGUUGAUCAUGUGGAUUAUCUAAUUUUUGGUGUGAAAUUUCCAUGUUUUUGUAAAUCUUUUCGAAUGAAAUUUAAAGGGUUUGCUUGUUUGAAUUUGAGUAUGUUAACACCCUCGUUGUUUAAUUUGUGUAAAUUGUUGGAGAUAAAAGGACUCUUUUUGCCAUUUGGAUCGAGUAGUCAAAAUCAUGUCUUUAAUCCUGGAGUUUGCUAUUAUGAAUCAUCCAUGAAAGAAAGCAAGCAUCGUAAAAUUUGUUUGAAUGAAUGUGUAAACAAUCUUUGUUUGUAUGAUACUUUGUCUUUAAGUUUGAAAAUGAGCCAUGUGAAUCUUGUUGGUUUGUUAAGUCAAAAUCAAAAUUUUGUUUUCGGAGGAUGUUCUCAACUGUGGACUAAAAGAUCCGAACAUGUUUUGAAUGAUAAUGAUUUUGAGUUGCUUAGUGCUCUUUCUAUGAAGUCGGUCAUGAAAUUGCCAAAUCAAAUUGAAAUGGCAAGAGAAAAUUUUGUCUUUGACCCCGGUGAACACCAUUCUAUAUCAUUGCCUAAGGUAAUCGAACCAUGGAAAGUUGACUUCCAAAACCAUAGCUAUCAAAUGCCUUGUGAUUUAUGUUUGUUUCCAUCGAAGAAAAAGGUAAGAACGAUUUCUAUUUUCGACCCCCGUAUUGGAUUAUUUGUUCAAACUAUGAAUCAAUUCUCAAAAAGUUCCUUUGUGUUUAAUCUUCAUCGUGUCACUAAUUCGUUUUAUUCUUUUAAAGGUGACAAUGUGAAGUGGUACCCUCCAAAAGAGGGAGGGCAUGCGAAUGAGCUUCUUUUGAUCCGAGUUAAUUGUGGCUUUCAGAAUCUUCAACGAUUUUUCGUGAGUAAAUGGACCGAUUUGGGGACAAAUCUCUUUAAAGAGGGAGGGGAUGAUACGACCAUGCCCCGGGCACACUUUUGGAUCAGCUCCCUAAGCAUUGUUUGCAAAUCCAUGCGAGCUGAAUUAGUUCAAUUUCAUUUUGUUAAGCUCCGUUUAGCUCGUUUCCAGCUCACUCGAGCUCAAGUCAACUCACUCAAGCUCAAUUCAGCUCAAUCUUAACCCAAUGAGCUUAUUUUUAGCUUUCUUUAGCUUGCAUUUUUUUUUGCUGAAAUAAACCAUUUAAUUUGUCAUUAGUUAAAUUAGUUGUUUAUCUUAAGUUAGUUAAUUUGUUAAAAUCUGGACAAAUAAUUAAUUAAGUGUUUUAAUUAUAUCUAAAUUAAAUACUUAAUUAAUUAUGAUGUUUUAAAUAUGUCUAAAAUUGUUAAUAUGUAUGGCCAAAUUUAAUGUGCAAAUUAUUGAGUUCAUAUGCUGCUAAUUUAAUGUGUUUGAAAUGCAUUUAACUUGCUGAUUUAAUUUGCUGCAGGUUCAUGAACGGAUUGGUGCAAUGUAUGGGAGUGUGCAUGCACAAUUGAGGUUCAAUGGAUGGCAUUUAAAGGAGCACAUGCAUUUGGGACGUUCAUGCAAGAGGGAGUUGCUGAAAGUUCAUGUAUUUGAAGAUUCAUGGAUCAUAUUUAUGGGGGAAAAUACAUGGGACGUUUCAUGCAUGAUUCAUGCAUUUUCAAGAUGACCAUUCAAGUAUUUUAGGCACAUUAAUGCCUCAUUCAGCCAAGGGAGAUGUAGGAUCAUUAAAGAGCUGCACAUUCAUGGAAUUAUGGAGAUUCUUCAAGGCUAAGGAUGCAUGAAUGCAUCAAGUGAAGCAUCAUGAUGGUUCGGCCAAUUCAUGUACCAUCUUCAAGCAUGAACUGGAUUUUAAUGCUAUUUGUGUGAACAUGUUAAAUACCUGUGUGAACAGAAUUUAAGUUAGUGUGAACAACAUAGAUGCCGAAUAUCAAUAGGCAUUUUAGGCUUAUAAAUAGCUUACUUGUUUAUUGUAAAAGGUUACAGAAUUUGAUUAUUGAAAACUUGAUUGUGAGGUUUCCUCCUAUCCUAUUUCGUACGAGUCUCAUUCUGACUUAUCUAGCUCGCUAGUGGCGUCAACCCGACUUCUUGAACUUAUCACCAUCCUGGUGUGGCGUUCAUCCACCUUUUUAUACCUUUGGUUCCUACCUCUCUAUAGGUAACGGGUCAAGGUCCAUCUUCUACAAUCCAUUUAAUCCACCUUGAGCAAUAUAAGUCCUGGGGCAAUACUUUACAUAGUAUUGAAUCGUUCUUCGCUUGAGUUCAAUUUCCAUUCCAUUUUAUCUAUCUACUUAAACUUUAUUUUCUUUGUUAAAUCGAACCAUCCAUUCUCCAAACCAAGCCAUUUUUGAACCCUUUUAAUUACUUCCGCUCAAAACAACUCCAUAAAGUUAUCUCCAUUCGACAUCAACCAAUACUUCUCGUCGACGAUCGGGCAACUUAAGUGAACUCGACUCCAUCAACCGAGCCGGAUCACAUCAGAACCUUGUUUAAUUACUCUCCAAAUUCAACUCACCUACAAAAACACAUGAACCAAAAUUAAAUCACAUAAAAUUCAGCUGAACAAACAUUAAUAUAAUUUAGACACACUAAUUAAACAUAAAUUAAAUUAGACAAAUUUAAUAAAGUCUUAACAAGACAUAUUAAAUUCGGCCAAGACACAUUUAAAACAUGUAAUAAGUCAAAACAUAAUUAUGAGCUGUAGUAAUUUAAGCUAAAUUAAUAAAUUACUUAAUUUAUUCAGACAUUAAAAUUAAUGAGUUGAAAUAAACUUAAGGCAAGCUCAAACGAGCUAAAGUAAGCUAAAUUGAGCUCAAACGAGCUAAAUUAAGCUCAUGUGAGCUAAUUCGAGCUGGGAAAAACUAAGAUUGAGCUUGUUGAGCUGAGAUUGAGCUUCAUCUUGCACUUGGGGCCCUCGUGUUUAGGCCAAUCAUGAUAGCAACGAGUGGUGCCACAACAUGAUGCGAUUGAGAUCACAUCAUACCCUCCCUCUUGAAGACGAUUUGUCCUCAAAUCGGGCCACUUGCUCGCGAAAAAUUUUCGAGAUCACAAGCCCUUUUGUUCAUGAUCCGAAAAGUAUUGUUUUUAACUCCAGGAACCACAAAUGGUUUGAAAAGAAAAUAAUUUAGUUCCAUGCCCUCCCUCUUUAGGAGGAAACCAUUCCAAAGUGUCACCUACAUAGAAAUGGAACGAAUUAGUGACACUAAAAUUUAUAAACUCAAACGAUCUUUUCAGAAUCUUAUUCAAAAUUAGAAUGCAUAAUCCAAUGCCGGGAUCAAAUGUAGAAGUGGAUCUUACCUGUUCACAAUGGUUUUCCAUACUUGGUAAUAAAGGAUGCAUCAGAAUCAAAUCAAAUUUAUAAUCAAAAUUUAUCAAGGAGUCCUCCAAAUGAUCAUGUAAUCUAAGUUCCACUCGAUCAAUCUUACUUAAACAUGCAGAAUUUAUAUAGCAAUGCAGAUUUGAGACACCAUCUUCAAAUUCAAAUGCACUAACCAUUUUACAUGCCAUCGUCUUAUCACAUAUUCGGAUCAAAAGAAAAUUAAACAAGCAUGCCUUUAAACAUUCAUAUGUCUUGAUUCUGUUAAACAAAAAUAAACAACAUUCUCUACAAUCAAAAAUUUGAUUUUGUCUUAACAAGCCAACAAGAUUCACACGUUUCGUUUUCAAACUUAGUGACAAAGCAUCAUACAAGCAACGAUUGUUUACUUGGUCAUUCAAACAAAAUUUACAAUGCUUGCCUUCUCUCAAAGAUGAACCAGAAUAGCGAACUCCAGGGUUGAACACACGAUAUUGUUCACUCGUUCCAAAAUGCAGUGUGAAUUUCUUAAUUACCAACAAUUCACACAAGUGGAACAAAAAGAAUUUGAGCAUGCAUAUGUUCAAACAUUCAUACAUCGUAAAUCUCAUUCGAAUAGACUUGUUCUGAUACGACCCGCCCCCGGGAACAGCUAUUGUUUCAGCCUACAAGCGAGGCUCGUCGUGUUUGCAAGCUGGACGUAGCUCAAUCUUAUUUUGUGGAGCUUCAUUUAGCUCGUUUCCAGCUCCUUUCAAGCUCAAUGAGCUCGAACUAGCUCAAUUUCAUUAAGACCUUAUUAUAGUAGCUGAAAUAAUUAUUUGAGUCAUUUAAUUAGUUUAUUACAGCUCAAUUAAUAUUCAUGAUUUAUUUGGUUUAAAAUCUGGACAAAUUUAAUUAUGCAUGAUAAUUGAGUUAUAAUUAUAUGUUAUUAAUUUGUCUUAAUUUCUACAGCUCAUUAAUAUGUUUUUUAUGCAUGUUUUAAUGUGUCAAUUUUAUUACAUGUUUUAAUUAUGUCCUAAGGUGGCCGAAUUUAAUGUGCAUAAUUUUUGUGUCAUUUGCUGCCAAAUUAAUGUGUUUAAAAAUGUAUUUGAUUUAUUGAAUAAAUUUUGCUGUAGGUACAUCCCAUUUGGACGUCCUUGGUCAUGAAUGAAUUAAAAGAAGAUACAUGUAAGGGGACGGCACAUGCAUGUUUGGGGAAUUAAAUUUGGCUGCUGUUUGAAGUAUCCUAGGUGACCAUUCGGCCAAAGAAGCUAUUGUUUCCUACUCCCAAGUUGACCAUUCAGCCGACUUUUAAUUCUUUUCACAUUGCUGGAUUCAUCUUGGCUGUUCGGUUCUAUAUGUUCACAUGCCAUGACUCUUCAAAGCUGAGUUUUCACACCUUGGUGGCUGCUCAUUACCUCCUUUAAUUGCUGAUCACUUUUCAACAAAAGUUGCCAAUUAAUUGAGUUUGUUUAAGUCCAUUAACCGAACCUAGCUGCUGCCAUGCAUCUUUCCAAGCUUCUAAGUUCAUUGCUCUUUCUAGAAGAUGACCAUUGGAGCUCCAUUCAGCCGAAUUUAGUUAAGCACAUUAAAGGAAUUCAUUUGCUUAAUUCUUAAGCAUUCAUAUGACUAUUCGGCUAGCCUAGUCUUUGUCUAUAAAUAGUUGUUAAAUUCAAUUUGUAAAGGGACUUUUGACAUUUUAAUUAGCGAAUUGCUGCAAAAUUUGUGAGGCAUUUUCUCUCAAAUUUCGUUCGAGGCCCGUAAGACUUAUCUAAGCUUUUAGUGGCGUCUUUCCGAGUCUUUUCCGAACUUAUCACUCCUUAACCCGAGUGUGGCGUUCACCUUUGAUACCUUUGGUUCAUACUUUCCUAAGUAUCGGGUCAAGGUUCUUUUUAACCAUUUCCAAUUCAUUUAGGUCCUAUAAGUUUCGGGUCGACACUUUUCUUUAGUGUUGGUUCAUUCUUGACCUCUUUGAACCGUUACCAAUUCGUACCAAAUACCAUACCAUUUCAUACCAAUUCCAUACCAUUUCGUACCAAUUCCCAAAUACCAAAACGUACCAAAACCAAAUACCAUUUCUUAAUUAUCCUAAACCAAACUCUUCCAUUCUAUUCAUACCAUUUCGACUUAAACCAAAUCCACAUCCAACUUUGCACGAACUUAUCUUACUUCUUUGUACACAAAUAUAUUCUAACUCCUUCUCGGCUAAUCUACUUCUUCGUUUACGAUCGGGAAUCAAACGACUCGGACUCAACUACUAAACCGAGAUCAUAUCAUGUUCAAACAUGGGGAAUUUACGCAAAAAAAUAGAAAAUUCAAAUUAUCACCACACACAAGUAGACUAGGCGUUUCACAUGCCAACUUUUUAUCACAAGAGUUCAAAAUUUGUUUGUGCAGAUUUAUUCAUACUUCAGUAAAAUUCUUGCCUAUACCAUACUCAUCAAUAGGAAAACACUUCUUACCACUAUGGAAGGUGUAAUCACCAUCAUUCAGAAUAUGAUAAUCAAACAAAUCGAACUUUGUAUGUGAAUAAUCUUUAUCGCACACUAUCACACUUUGUUCAUGCUGAUCUUAUCGAAUGCCUUCAAUAAAAUUGCCAGCAACAAACUCAUCAUAGAAAAAACUUUUCAAAGCACUAGUUGAAACAAAAUCAUAAAUAAUAGAUGAACGAAAAUUAACCAAUUCAAUGGGGAAAACCCUUUCGCAAAAACAAUUUUCAGCAAUCUUGUCAUAAACAUGUGAGUAAAUGAGUUGAAACUCGCUCAACAAGGAACCCUUACCUUGCUUACCAUUGGAAAUGUGACAAUCAUUUUUAUCUUCCAACUUACCUCUUUCAAUCAAUUGAAAACGUCUCUCGGUAGAAAGGUAAUGAAGUUGGAACCAAUCCGUGGAUGGAAUCUUGCAAACCUGAAACAAAGAAAAAUCACAAGGUAAUUUCGAAAGGGGGUUAGCAAAAGAAUUCCUCUCUUUUUCGUGAUUACUCACUUCACUCGUUUCUUUUACAGACUCUCUUUCUUUUUCACUUGAUUUCUUUUCAAGCUCUCUUUCAAUUUCUUUUUUCGCUUUUUCUUUUUCAAUUUUCUUUUCUUCAUUUUCUUUUUCUCUCACUUUUUUGAUUUCUUUUUCUUUUGCAAUUUCUUUUUCUUUUUCGUUUUCUUUUUGUUUUCUUUCAAUUUCUUUUUCAAUCUCUUUUUCCUUUUCUCGCUCAAUGGAUUGCUUCAUUUUGAAUUGGUCUUCUUGCACUUGUUCCGGUGUGAGCGGUGCUAAAGUGAUUUUCCUUCCUUGAUGCUUGAAGGAAUACCUAUUGGUAUGUUCAUCGUGAAUGACCUUGCGAUCCGAUUGCCAUGGUUCUCCUAGCAAAAAAUGGCAGACUUGAAUAGGCACAACAUCACAAAGGACUUCGUCUUGGUAUCUUCCGAUGGAAAAUGCAACACGCACUUGUUGAGUAACUUCAAAUUUGCCUUCAACACCAAGUCCUUGCAGUUGAUAGGGUCGUGGAUGCUUGGUAGUGGCCAAGCCAAGUUUUUUAACCGUUCAAAUACUAGCCAUGUUUGACCUACUUCCACCAUCAAUAAUGAGGCAACAAACUUUAUCGUGGACACGGCAACGCGUGUGAAACAUAUCUUCACAUUGUGGUUCAUUUUCCAAUCUUUGAAGGAUUGCACUAAUCUUGAUGUCAACGAUAGUAGAUGUCAAAUCUUCUUUAUCUUUGUCGAAUUGUCGAAAUUCAGAUCGCAUUAUGAUACGGCCACGCCUCGGGCACACUUUUGGACCAGCUCCCUAAGCAUUGCUUGCAAAUCCAUGCAAGCUGAAAUAGUUCAAUUCCUUUUCGUUGAGCUCCGUUUAGCUCGAUUCCAGCUCACUCGAGCUCAAGUCAGCUCAAUCGAGCUCAAUUUAGCUACAAUUCAGCUCAUUUAUUUUAUUGGUUGAAUAAUUAAAGUAUUUAUUAACUUAGUUUAAGUUAUUACAGCUCAUAAUUAUGUUUUGAUUUAUUUCAUGUUUUUAAAGUUGUUUUAGCCGAAUUUAAUAUGUUUAGCUUAAGACUUUAUUAAAUUUGUCUAUUUUAAAUUUAUGUGUUAAUUAAUAUAUCUAUUUUUAAUUAAUUUGUUCAUGUUUCAUGUAGGUACAGCCGAAUGUGGAGAUUCAUUCAAGCUAGGUGCAUGAACGUCUAUUUACAAUGCAUGAUGUGGGAACACAAUUAAAGAUGAUUCAUGAAUGGGCUGGUUCAAUGAACGUAAGGAUGAUGCAUGAAUGAGUUAAUACAAUGAAUGGAAGAAUGCAUGAAUAUUCACUUACAUGCAUCGGUUGCUGUCCAUUGAUCUCCUAAGUACCUAUUCGGCCAAAAGGCAUCUCUUGGAGUGUCCAUUCACACCUUGGCCGAACCUAGACAUGUCCAUUGCUCUCCCAUACAUUCACCAAGCCUUCAAGUUUAUUUCCUUAGCCAUGAAGCUGCCCAUUGAAGUUCCAUUCAGCCGAAUUUGGACAUAGCCUUUAAAGAUACAUUUCUAGAUUAGUUUUACACAUUUAAAGCCGAAUUACUUAGUCUUUAAGCUUGUUUAGUAUGACUAUUCGGCUAUCACCUGAACUCUAUAAAUAGUUCAUUUCUCUUUGUAAAAAGGUUACAGAAUUUGAUCAAUUAAACUUAAUAGAACUUUUGUUCUUGUGAGGUUACCUCCUCUCUUCUUUCGUUCGAGUCUCGAAGUGACUUAUCUAGCUUGCUAGUGGUGUCAAUCCGAACUCCAUUGAACUUAUCACCGAAUCGGUGUGGCGUUCAACCAUAUUUUUAUACCUUUGGUUCUUACCUCUAUAUAGGUAUUGGGUCAAGGUUCGCUUCUAUCCUUCAUCAAAAUUCACCUUAAGCAAUAUAAGACUCGGGGCAAUACUUUUUAGUAUUGAAUCAUUCUUAAAGUUUGAGUUCUUUAUCCAUUUCCAUCUAUUUAUCAUCUUUGUAACUUAAUUCUUUGUUAAAACGAACCUAUCUUUCAUCCAUUCUCCAAAACCCAUCUUUUGAACCCAUUUUGCCUACCUUCCGCUUAUAAAACAUUCAAACUCCAUCUAUCUACAAAUUUGAACGAGCUUCUCGUCGACGAUCGGGCAUCUUAAGUGAACCUGACUCAAUCAAUUGGGCCGGAUCGCAUCAUUUGGUAUCAGAGCUGGUAAAAACGAGAAGUACGAGCACUCAAAGUCAAUUUGAAAUAGGUGCGUAAAAAAAUUAAAAAAAAAAAAUUAAAAAAAAAAAUUGAAAAAAAAAAUUGCAUACGGUUUAGGUGCGGACGAAAAGAACGUGAAAGAUCCGUAAAAAAAAAAAAAAAAAAAAAAAAAAAAAAAAGAGUCUGGAGACACUUCAAUAGAAAUUUUUCCAAAAUCUCAUUUUACACCCUUUUAUAUCCCCCGUAGUGAAAUUUCACGCAAUUAAAAAAAAAAAAAUUCGAUAUAAAAAAAAAAAAGUGUUUCGAGUUUGUAAGUUUGGCAUUUUCUUCCAUUCAUCUUCUAAGCCACACUUAGCCUAAAACUUUUCUUGUUUCUUUUAGCCUACCCGUAACCUAACAUCAAUCCCUUGUAAAGUCAUUUGAAGCCGACCCAUUGAAUUACGAUAAGGUCACGACGAGUCGCUUACGAAAUCACGAGAGGAGAUUGAGCGGAAAAAGGCACGAGUGUUGAGAGAGCAUUAGAGAGAAGAAAAAGCCAUUAAAGAGUGUAAACACGAGUGGAGUGUUAUACAAUUUUCAUUGUGAGUGAAACGUGAGAUUUUUGUGGUGAGGUAUUUACUUUCUAUUUUAUUUUAAUCAUUUAAAAAAAAAAUCAUGUCACAAGAAUUUUCCGAAUCAGAUUUCCAAUAUUUGAAGCAAGAGAUACGUAGAAUUGUGAAAUCAAAUUUUGAUAAAUUGCAUGAUCGAUUGGAUCGAGUGGAGGAAAGAGCCAGUCGAAAACAAAAUCCACCAAGUCGAGAAACGGAGUCGAGAUCAUCACGGCGAUACGCGUCCAAAGACUACUCGCUAAGAGAUUCUUAUCGGGAUUCCUAUUCGUCAAGGAAUUCAAGACGCGACAACCUAGAGCUUGCAACUUCUCGACAUGACAAACAAGAGAGGACGAGUUAUUCAUCGUAUGACUCAAAGAAGUCCUUCCCGGAGGAUUGUUCCCGAAGAAAUGGACAAGAAGCCUAUGAAAAUAUUUUCUCUUCCUUUGGGGCAAAUGAUUAUAUUUUUGAUUCUUUCGUGUCGACUGCACAUUGUAAUGAAAUCGAAAAAGCGAGAGAAAAAGAAAAUGAAGAGAAAGAAUUCGAAAAAGAAAUUGAGAUUGUACAAGAGUACGAGCGAGAAAAAGAAAUCGAAAGAAAAGAAAAAGAGAUUGAAAAAGAAAAAGAAAUCCAAAAAGAGAGUGAGGUCAAAAAUAAAAGUGAAAAUGAGAAAGGAAAUGAAAAGAGAAAAAAAGAAGUUGAGAUUAGAAAAGAAACGAGAGAAAAAGAGAUAAACGAACCAGAAAAAGUGAGGAGCAUUUCGACUAAUCCAUAUGAAACUUGUUCUUGUUCUGUUUCUUCUUUCCAGGUGCCCGAGAUAUCAAACGAUAAUUUUCAACUUCACUACCUUUCCGAUGAAAGACAUUUUCAUAUGGUCAGUAUAGGUAAGGUUGAAGAUGAAAACGUGCCUCAAGAGUUCAAAGGUAAGAGAGGUGAGGAAAUGUUAACGAUCGAGUCACGACCCCCAGGUUUGAAAAUUGUUGAAAUACUUUUUAGUGACUUAAUUUCUAAACGCUCUCCUUAUUUUGGUCUGAUUAAUUGCUACUCCCUGAAUGUGGUUGAUGUUGUUCGGUACGAACGACAAACUAAAGAUUUGGUUUUGCAUGAUGACGGUAUUUCACGAAAGGCGAUUAAAUUCUUCAUUUGUGACAAUUUUGUGCACCAAUUAACGCUUUGUGGAAAAUCCAUGAAUUUGUGCAAGUAUGAAUUGAUGAAUGUAAAAAGUUUUAAUUGUUUGUCCCUGUGUAUGCAAAAAUCCCAUUGGUUUAACGUGUUUGGUUUAAUGAAAUUUUUGCUACAUUUUGGCAUGAAUACUCAAAAUCAAGUUUUUAAACCCGGAAUCUAUUUUGGUUCGUUUUAUGGGAAAGUCAAGCUUCAUCAAUUUUGUGUGAACAAUUUCUAUUGUUUUGAUAAUUGGGUGUUGAAUAAGGAACUGAGGUAUGAAAAAUUUGAUUUCAAUUUAAAUUCAUUCCUUAAUCCAUUUUUGUGGUUGUAUUUGAAGUUCGCAUUUCAUUUCGUUAAGGUUAAUUCAGCCACAGAGAUUCGACUAGACUAUAUUUCCGAGGAGAGAAGAUUUAUGAUGAUCGACAAAGGUAAAAAUGAUCCUUGUUUUUCCAUCCCUCGAGGUAAACAAGGUAUGAUUUACGAUAACUUUAAAAUUUCUCUGCCCUAUUCGGUUGGUAAUAAAAUUUUUGUUGAAGAAUUGGUUGUUGCAAGGAAUUUAAAUUGUGAUGUGUUUAACUGUUCAGCUUUAUUUAAAAAUGAUCUUUGUUUUACUACUUUCAAAGGUAAGGCUCAUGAACUUUUUGAAACAUCGUUGUUAUCUUUAGGUGGUGACAAAGAUUGUUUUGUUGAUUUGAUUCGUUAUUCACAUAUUGGUUAUGACUUGCGGAAACGAUUUGAGACAUUUGAUUGCCUUAGAACAUGUUCAUUUUCGUUUCGAAUAAUUGAUGAGGCAUUAACGAGUAAAUUAGUUUGUUUGCAUGGUUGUGAACAUGUUGCUUUGCAUCCGUCCACUCCCAUGGGAUUUUCUUAUUCUAUUUUGCUUGCAUUUGGAUUACAAAUUUAUUUGAAACCAUUUUUGUUAACUCAUGGUUAUUCCUUUCAGUUGUCCCAAUUCCAAUCUAUCCCGUUCGACCGAGGAAAGCUAAGUAAAAGUUGCUGCGAUCGAGUGAACCAAUGGCUCGAUUUGGGACAAAUCGCUUUAAAGAGGGAGGGGAUGAUACGGCCACGCCUCGGGCACACUUUUGGACCAGCUCCCUAAGCAUUGCUUGCAAAUCCAUGCAAGCUGAAAUAGUUCAAUUCCUUUUCGUUGAGCUCCGUUUAGCUCGAUUCCAGCUCACUCGAGCUCAAGUCAGCUCAAUCGAGCUCAAUUUAGCUACAAUUCAGCUCAUUUAUUUUAUUGGUUGAAUAAUUAAAGUAUUUAUUAACUUAGUUUAAGUUAUUACAGCUCAUAAUUAUGUUUUGAUUUAUUUCAUGUUUUUAAAGUUGUUUUAGCCGAAUUUAAUAUGUUUAGCUUAAGACUUUAUUAAAUUUGUCUAUUUUAAAUUUAUGUGUUAAUUAAUAUAUCUAUUUUUAAUUAAUUUGUUCAUGUUUCAUGUAGGUACAGCCGAAUGUGGAGAUUCAUUCAAGCUAGGUGCAUGAACGUCUAUUUACAAUGCAUGAUGUGGGAACACAAUUAAAGAUGAUUCAUGAAUGGGCUGGUUCAAUGAACGUAAGGAUGAUGCAUGAAUGAGUUAAUACAAUGAAUGGAAGAAUGCAUGAAUAUUCACUUACAUGCAUCGGUUGCUGUCCAUUGAUCUCCUAAGUACCUAUUCGGCCAAAAGGCAUCUCUUGGAGUGUCCAUUCACACCUUGGCCGAACCUAGACAUGUCCAUUGCUCUCCCAUACAUUCACCAAGCCUUCAAGUUUAUUUCCUUAGCCAUGAAGCUGCCCAUUGAAGUUCCAUUCAGCCGAAUUUGGACAUAGCCUUUAAAGAUACAUUUCUAGAUUAGUUUUACACAUUUAAAGCCGAAUUACUUAGUCUUUAAGCUUGUUUAGUAUGACUAUUCGGCUAUCACCUGAACUCUAUAAAUAGUUCAUUUCUCUUUGUAAAAAGGUUACAGAAUUUGAUCAAUUAAACUUAAUAGAACUUUUGUUCUUGUGAGGUUACCUCCUCUCUUCUUUCGUUCGAGUCUCGAAGCGACUUAUCUAGCUUGCUAGUGGUGUCAAUCCGAACUCCAUUGAACUUAUCACCGAAUCGGUGUGGCGUUCAACCAUAUUUUUAUACCUUUGGUUCUUACCUCUAUAUAGGUAUUGGGUCAAGGUUCGCUUCUAUCCUUCAUCAAAAUUCACCUUAAGCAAUAUAAGACUCGGGGCAAUACUUUUUAGUAUUGAAUCAUUCUUAAAGUUUGAGUUCUUUAUCCAUUUCCAUCUAUUUAUCAUCUUUGUAACUUAAUUCUUUGUUAAAACGAACCUAUCUUUCAUCCAUUCUCCAAAACCCAUCUUUUGAACCCAUUUUGCCUACCUUCCGCUUAUAAAACAUUCAAACUCCAUCUAUCUACAAAUUUGAACGAGCUUCUCGUCGACGAUCGGGCAUCUUAAGUGAACCUGACUCAAUCAAUUGGGCCGGAUCGCAUCACAUUAUCCUUUGCAUUUCUUGUCUCCACAUUUGGAAUUCAAAUUCAGAAAAUUCUUCAGACAUGCUUCAACAAAAUAUUAGAAAACAAAAGUUAAAUUAGAAAGAAUAAUAAUUCUCACCACAAAUCUCUCAAGUUCGCUCAAAAAGAAAAAUUCACUCACUCGUGUUUGAACUCUCUUUUAGGCUUUUUUUUCGAAUGAACUCACGCUCUCUUGCCUUUUACCACUCGACCUCGUCUCACAAAUUCGUAAUUCGUCUCGAUAGACUUAAUUUGCUGCUUGAGGGUCGGUUUCAAAAUGGGUUACAAGGGAUAAUGUCGGGUGUAGGGUAGGCUGAAUAAAGAAGAAAAUUGGUUUAAAGUGUGGCGUUGGGAUGGGUAAAUAAUGGUAGGAAGGGAAACUUGAUGAUCGGAGUAAUAAGUGAUAAUGAUAAAAACUCGCAAGACUUUUCACUUUUUUUUCUUCUUUUUUUUUAAGUCGAUUUUUUUGUCACUUCUUUUUUUCCUUUUUUUGGGUAAAUAAUAGUAAACAAAAUACAAGGAAGAGAAAAAAAAUUAAAUUCCAACUCAAUUUUUUUUUGAUUUUUUUUGACUUUUUUUUACAUUACGAACCUACUCCGAGCUUGAUACGAAUGUCGACAUUCCUUGUUUUAGUAGCUCUGAUACCAAAUGAUGUGAUCUGGCUCGGUUGAUUGAGUCGAUUCACUUGAUUACCCGAUCGUCGACGAGAAGUUUGUUCGAUUUUGUAGAUAGAUGGAGUUAGAUGAUUUUUUUAUAGCGGAAGUUGAGAAAAUGGGUUCAAAAGAUGGUUUGGAUAGAUGUUUGAUAGGCUCGGUGAAAUAAAGAAAUAUUGUUUAUAAUUUAAUAGUUAAAAUGGAAUGGAAAAAUAGAACUCAAGCGAAGAACGAUUCAAUACUAUAUGAAGUAUUGCCCCGGGACUUAUAUUGCUUAAGGUGGGUUUAAUGGAAGUCGAAGAUGGACCUUGACCCGUUACCUAUAGAGAGGUAGGAACCAAAGGUAUAAAAAGGUGGAUGAACGCCACACCAGGAUGGUGAUAAGUUCAAGAAGUCGGGUUGACGCCACUAGCAAGCUAGAUAAGUCAGAACGAGACUCGUACGAAAUAGGAUAGGAGGAAACCUCACAAUCAAGUUUUCAAUAAUCAAAUUCUGUAUCCUUUUACAAUAAACAAAAUAAACUAUUUAUAGGCUCUCUAAUGCCUAUUAAAAUUCAGCUACUAAUGUGUUCACACAACAAUUAAAAAUGUUCACACUUCAAGCAUUAAAUCUCUGUUCAUGGAUAGUGUAAGUUCAUGCAUGGUUGAAUAAUCAUGUUUCUUCCCAAAACCCGUUCAUGCAUGCUUAACCAAUAAGAAAGCUUCCUUGUUCCAUGAAUGUGCAUCUUCAAUUCAUAUCCAACCCCUCUUGGAUGAAUGCUAGGUGCAUGGGUAAUGUAUCUCUCUUAAUUAAAGCUUUAAUGAUGGGCUGGUUCAUGAAUGGAAGCAUGUACCUUGUAAAUUCGUUCUCCCCUUUGUACAUGCACAUUAUACAUUCAAUGUGAUGAAUUAAGGUAAUAUUCCCUCCCUUUGGACGUUCAUGAAUCCACCCAUACAUGUAUAGGAGUUGAUUGGUCAAAUUGAGGUGUGAAUGGCUUAGAUGCUGCCUUGGGAAUACGAUCGGCCAAGCUUGUGCUUUAAGUUGCUGGACACCUUUUGGCCAAAUAGGUGCCUUGUGGAGCCAAAUGGAUCAGCCACCAUUCAUUGAAAGAGGCCUUACAUGCACCGUCCCAUACAUUGAACCUAUCAUGCAUGAACCUUGUUUAAUUACUCUCCAAAUUCAACUCACCUACAAAAACACAUGAACCAAAAUUAAAUCAAAUAAAAUUCAGCUGAACAAACAUUAAUAUAAUUUAGACACACUAAUUAAACAUAAAUUAAAUUAGACAAAUUUAAUAAAGUCUUAACAAGACAUAUUAAAUUCGGCCAAGACACAUUUAAAACAUGUAAUAAGUCAAAAAAUAAUUAUGAGCUGUAGUAAUUUAAGCUAAAUUAAUAAAUUACUUAAUUUAUUCAGACAUUAAAAUAAAUGAGUUGAAAUAAACUUAAGGCAAGCUCAAACGAGCUAAAGUAAGCUAAAUUGAGCUCAAACGAGCUAAAAUAAGCUCAUGUGAGCUAAUUCGAGCUGGGAAAAACUAAGAUUGAGCUUGUUGAGCUGAGAUUGAGCUUCAUCUUGCACUUGGGGCCCUCGUGUUUAGGCCAAUCAUGAUAGCAACGAGUGGUGCCACAACAUGAUGCGAUUGAGAUCACAUCAGAAUUAUUUAAUAAACUUUAACUCAUGCACUAAUAAAUUAACCUAGUAACUAGAUUAAUUAAAGAAGCAACUCAUUAAAUUAAAUUCAUCAAAUAAACUCAUUUAAUUAAACUAAGAUGAGUUGUAUUAAUGACCAGCAACUCAUUUAUUAAACUAAGAGGCUUAAAUGCAAGUAUUAAAAUGCAAACUAAAUGCAAAGCUAAAAGAAAUAAAUAAAAGUUCAAUUUAGUUGGAACGGGUUCAAGGAGCGGAAAUUGAGCUGAAAUUAGUUUGCAAAAUGUUGCAAGGACACUUUAUUAAGCUGGUCCCAACUCGAUCUAUUUCUCCAACCAAAGCCUCGCCCCACACUUGAUUAACUAAGGCCGAAAUGGCCUCCUUGAAUUGCUUAGCUCGAGCUCGCGUAAUUGGUCCUUGAGGCAGCACCAUUGAGUCCUUGCUCGAACUUGAUGCACUCCAGGUUGCGAUCAUAUCAUUUCUUUUAGCUUUGCAUUUAGUUUGCAUUUUAAUACUUGCAUUUAAGCCUCUUAGUUUAAUAAAUGAGUUGCUGGUCAUUAAUACAAUUCAUCUUAGUUUAAUUAAAUGAGUUUAUUUAAUGAAUUUAAUUUAAUGAGUUGCUUCUUUAAUUAAUCUAGUUACUAGGUUAAUUUAUUGGUGCAUGAGUUAAAGUUCAUUAAAUACUUCUUUUAAUUAACUAGUUGUUGGAAUAAAUGAUGCAUAAGUGAGUGUUCAUUUAUUUACGUAGUUGUUAAUUUGUUUAAAGUUUAAUAAUUGAAUUAAUGUGACGGUUACAUAUGUUUUAAUUGCAGGUGACUUUUCAAUUCACAAAGGCUAUUACGCAUUCAAUAAAGGAGACUUUUCAAGUUAUUUUGGUUACAAAAGAGGGGGCUGUUAUAAAGGAAGCAUUAAGCAUCAUUAAAAGAGAGUUUAAAGGAGCAUUUCAUGUCCUUUAAAAUCUGGUAGCAGCUUGUUCAAAUACCCCAACGUUUUUUUUGCUACUUAAUGGACAAUUUAUGCAUUGCAAAUUUCAUUAAAGUGGCUGGAGUCUAUUCAACUAGCCAAAGGGAAAAUCAAGAGUCAUUUUUCAAGCCUUUAAGGACAUUAAUUUAGCUAGUUAAAGAGAGGAGUUAUUGACUCUAGAAUUUCAAAAGUCUUUGAUUUAUAAUUAGCCCUUUAAUAGCACUUUACUAUGUGACCAUUCGGCUAGCUCAUUUUAGCCUUAUAAAUUCUUGUAACAAGCCUUUUGGGGAUACUACUUUUUUUUGGAAUAUUUAAUUAAUGAUAUUCUGCCAAAUUUGUGAGGCAAACUUUUCUCUAUUUUCGUUCAAAGAUUUGUUGGCUACCUAGUGUUCUAGUUGUGUCAUCCAUUUUCUUUGUUGAAAACUGAACUUAUCACUACUCGUAGUGUGGCGUUCAAACAUACCAAGGUUCCUACUUUUCUAAGUAGCGGGUCGAGGUUCUCAUAUUCUCCAUCUGACCACCUUGAAAACUUAUAAACAUUUGGGUCAAUAUUUUCUAAUAUUGGUUCGUGUUUGUUUUUUUAGAUCAUUUUCAUUUUCAUUUCCAUUCCAUUCCAUCUUUUCGUUUCAUUUUAACCAAACCUACAAAAACUUUAUAUCCAUAAAUCCAUCUACAUAAACUUCAUAUCCAUAAACCCAUCUUUGAAUCCUUUUACAUAGCUUUCGCCAUUAUUUACGUUAAAACAUCCUUUUGAACAAAUCGAAUGCUACUUCUUCAUAGACGAUCGGGCAAACUCACAUACGACUCGACUCACCCCGAGGCGGAUCGUAUCAUUGCCCGAUCAUCUACGAGAAAGUGUCGAUGAAUUGGAUGAAGAAAGUUAUUUCAGUUUAAAGAGGCUUGGAUGUCUAAGUUAGGUUCAAAAGUGGUUAAUAAAUUAGGUUCGAGAAAGAGAAGAGUUAGGAUAUUUGGUAGGUUGUUUCGGUUCGGAAAAGGAACGAAAUAUGGUUGAUUGAAGUACUUGGGUAAUGGAUGAAAAUAUAGCAAGAUUGGUCCUAAGAAUAAGUUGAACCGAUAUUAGCAAAUAUCGACCCGAGACUUAUUAGUUCUUAAGAUGGAAUGGUUGAAACAAGAUAGACCUCGACCCACUAUCUAGGCAGAUAGGAACCUCGGUAUAAAGUGUUUUGAACGCCACACUAAAAGCUAGUGAUAAGUUCAGUUUCGUAAAAGAAAGAGGUUGACGCCACUACUAGGUAGAUAAGCCAACAAAAUCUUAAACGAGACUUAGAGAAGGAAAUUCUCAGAAGAACAAAGGUUUGACUAUAAAUUUGGCAAAAAGUCCUUUUAUAUAGAAAUGGGUAAACUAUUUAUAAUUUAACAUGUGUAGCCGAAUGGACAAAUUAGCUAGCUUAAAGACUAAGUAAUUUCGGCUAUGAACUAAUGAUACGAGCACGCCCCGCGAACUUUAUCGAGCAAGUCUGUCAAGCCGAGCAAUGACAUGUUGGCAAGCUGAUCCAAGCUCGUUUCCAGCUCCACGAGCUCCGUCUAGCUCAAAUCCAGCUUAUUCGAGCUCAAUCCAUCUUGCCUGAGCUAAACCGAGCUCACUCCUAGCUCACUUUCAACUUACGAGCUAAACCUUAGCUCAACUUCAGCUUAGGAGUUUAGCCUCAGCUCAACUUUAGCUCACGAGCUAAAGCUUAGCUCAUUUUAGUUUAAACUCGGUUUUGUCUUUAAUGCAUUAAAUAAAAAUUUGCACAUAUUUAUUUAAGCAUUAAACUUGUCUUAUAUUAAUAUUUGUUAUUAAUAUGCCACAGUCACUACAUAAAUUGAUUAUGUUCACAUAGCUGAAUUAAUGCAUGACAUUAAUGUGUUCACAUCAUGCCGAAUUUAUGAGUGUCCAUGAGAUAUCUUAAUGACUUGUUUAUUUCAUGUAGGUACAUCCCUUUGGACGGUACAAUGUAUGGAUGAAGAAACAUCUCUUUUGGGCAUUCCACACUUGUGAAUGAAGAAGUAUUAAAUGCUGGUGCAUGUACGGCUAGAUGCAAGGUUUCUACAAAUUCAUGCAUGUGUCGAAUGCAUGUAUGGACAUUAAAGGCUGGUCCAUGAAUGGAUCAAAUGCAUGGGAUGAUAGAAUGCAUGAAUGGCUUAAGUGCAUGUAUGGUGGCUGUCUCCUAACUUUCCAAGGCACUUAUUCGGCCAAGAAGUAGCUGUUCACACUUUGAAUUGACCUAUAAGCUACUACACAUGCAUGGAUGGGUUCAAGAACGUCCAAAGGAAGGAAUUAACUCAAUAAUUCAACACAUUGAUUGAAUUAAGUGUAUGCACAAAGGGGAGAACGAAUUUACUAGGUUCAUGCUGCCAUUUAUGAACCUACAUGCUAUUAAAGAGUUUAAUUAUGAGGAUACAUGUUCCAUAAAAGUGCAUGAACGUCCCAAGGAGAUGAAUGCAACCUUUGGUGCACAUACAAGUCACUUGAAGCCUUUCUUUAUGAUUAAGCAUUCAUGCACACACUUAGGGGGAAGAAAGUGUCCAUUCAACUAGUUCAUGAAUCUGCCAAAUUUAUUAACUAUUUUAAUACAUUAGUGUGAAUGUUUUUAUUAUUUUGUGAACACCUAGAUGCCGAAUUUGAAUGGUCAUUUAUGUGCCUAUAAGUAUUUGUUUCUUUCAAUUGUAAGGGACUUUUUGCCAAAUUUUUUAUUGAAUUUAAUCUUGUGAGAAUUUUAUUCUCUAAACUUUGUUUGAGACUUUGUUGACUUAUCUACCUAGUAGUGGCAUCAACCCUAUUUCUUUCACCCAUAUACCGAGGUUCCUACUUUGCUAAGUAGCGGGCCAAGGUUUUAUCACUUUCAUUCUCCACCUUGAAAGCCUAUAAGCAAUUGGGUCAAUACUCUCUAGUAUUGGUUUGUGCUUGCUUUUGAGUUCCUUCUUUCCAUUCUUUCAUUUACUUUAAACCGAACCUUAAUAUUCAUAUUUUAAACCCUUUCUUUGAACCCCUUGAAUAGCUUUCGCAUAAUUUAUUUAGAAACAUUUUUUUGAACAAACCGAACGAUAUUUUCUCGUAGAUGAUCGGGCAAACUCGCAUACGACUCGACUCUCCCCAAGGCGGUUCGUAUCAACUAACUAGAAUGUUCUAGAACAAAAACAGUAAUUAGCUGAGUCUUGAUUCGGCUGAAUGGGAAUGCAUUGGACAGCUUCACGCUUAAGAAAAUGUACUUGGAUGAAGGUGAAUGAAUGGCAGCUCUCUUGCUUGUCUAGGUUUGGCCUUAAGAUGGAAGAAGCAUUAAAAAGGCAACUCUUGGCAGAAUGGACACCUAGGAAUACCAUUGGUUCACUCACAUUCAUUUGGUCAUGCAUGGUUCUUGGGUGGGAGCUUGAAUCUGGCCGUACAUGUUGAUGUGAUCCGGCCCGGGUAGUUGAGUCGAAUUCACUUAGUUGCGCGAUCGUCGUUCGAGAGAGUCGUUUGUGCCUCGGAUUUUAGUGAUAGUAGUAUAAGAAUUAAAAUAGGAUAAGCGGAUUGUAGCAAAGAUGGGUGAUGGAUAAAUGGUUCGGUUUGGGUUAACAGAAUGAAAGUUGAAAAAAAUGGAAAAUGGAAAAACAAACUCAACGUCAGGAAUGAUUCAACACUAAAAAGUGUCACCCCGAUUCCUAUAUUGUUAAGGUGAAAAAAUUAUGGAUAGAUGGAUAGGUGAACGCCACACCAAAAUUGGUGAUAAGGCAAAACAAGACGAUUGAUGCCACUAGCACAAGCCAGAUAAUUCUUUCGAAACUUGUACGAGAUAUGAGAGGAAGCAACCUCACAAGAACAAUGUUCAUUAAACAAAUUGGCAAAAGUCCCUUUACAACGAAAUGUGCAAACUAUUUAUAGGCUAACAAAUAGUAGCCGAAUGGACAAACUAAUAGCUUAAAGACUAAAUAAAUUCAGCUAUGAAUGCACUAGAAUAAUCUAGAACAAGUCUUAAUUUGCUAGGACUAGAUUCGGCUGAUGGGAACUCCAUUGGACAGCUUCAUGUGUAAGCAAAGCAUCUUGGAUGAAUGUGAAGUCUUGGGAACUCAAUAGCUUGUCUAAAUUCGGUCAUGGGAUGAAUGAAACAAUCAAGAAGUGUCUCUUGGCCGAAUAGACACCUAGGGAAGUCAUUUGGGCAGCAAACAAUUCAUGUAUUUCACCCCAUACAUUCGGCCAUGCAUUGAACUAGAAGGGAGCUUGAAUCUGGCCGUACAUGAACAUUCAUUAAAUGCUCUUCAUUCAUGCAUGUGUGCCGUCCAAAGUGAAUGUAUCUUCUUAACCCACAUGCAUGUAAUUAACCUCCCAUGUACAUGAACUUAAUUUCCCCCAAUCAUUGAACCAGGCCGUGCAUGAAUCUUCUCAUUCAUUGAACUUUCCCGUUCAUGCAUCUCUUCAUGAAUGAACCUUCCACAUUCGGCUAACCUACAUGAAUUAAACACACAAUUAAAUAAAAUAUAACUAUUCAUAAAAUCAUAAUUAAUAAUUAAACAACUUAAUGAAAUUAACUGAAUUCAAACAUAAUAUUAUAAGUCAACUAUGAAGUAAAUUCGGCUAGCUCAAAAAUAGUCAAACACUUAAUGAGCUAAAUUGAGCAUAAGCUGUAGCAAACUUAAUUAUAAACUAGAUUAAAACUUAAUUUAUUGGAAUGAAAAAGAAAUGAGCUAGAUCGAGUUGAAUUCUAGCUCAAACGAGCUGAAUCAAGCUCAAGUGAGCUGAUGGGAGCUGAAUGGCGCAUGGGGAGCUGAAGAGGAUCUGAGAUCGGAUUGAAAAAUGGUGCAUGGAGUCUUCAAGGAGUUAUCCUUAGCUCCUCCAACGUCAUAAACCUUGUUGUCAUCCCAAAUGUGCAACACCAAAGCUGAUAAGGCGUCUUGAAUUCGCUUGGUUCGAGCUCGAGUCAUAGGGCCUUUUGGAAGCUCGAUUAGAUCUUGAUUUGCAUUCGAAGAUGCCCCGGGCGUGCUCACAUCAUUCCCCCCAUCUUCAAAGUGACUUGUCCUCAAGUCGGGCCAUUUGCUUGCGAAAAAGAAUUCUUCGUCACUAGGCCCUUGGUUGUCGAAUGGGGUAGAAUGGCUCACAAUAACCUGAAAGUCACACAAGACUCGAAAGGACAAAAUAUUAGUCACAUGUCCUUCCUCUUUUUGGAUAGGCCAUUUCAAAGUUUCAACAACAAAAUAAAGAAGAAGUUUAGGGAAACACCGAAUUAAGAACAUACAAUCUCGCUCCAGCUUCUUAAUCCAAACUUGGGCAAAUAAACCAAUGCCGGGAUCAAAAAUAAAAGUGGAUCUUACCUUGUUCUUUGUUGAAAGCAAACUAGAUCCAUGAAGCAUUCGUGACUCAAAAUUUUGAACAACAAAAGUCCACGACUGAAAUUCUAUGAACAACAAUAUAAAACCAAAACUUUUAUUUAACAUUUGCAACCUUUCACAAAUCCACAACUUUGUGUUUAGAUUUAAAGACAAAACAUCAAAUAGGCAUAAAUGGUUUACACAUCCACUCACACGAAAUUCAGAAGGCUUGAUUUCAAUUAAUAAUGAUCCAGAGUAACAAAGCUUUUGACAGUUAGAAUCUCGACAGUCAAAAAUCCUUGAAUCAAAUCCCUUGAUCAUCAAUAAAUAAUAAUCACCAAGAUCAAAAAUGAAGUUUUUGUUUACCAUUUCACGCUGACUUGAAUAUUUAUUGGCUGUCAGCAUGGUAGGAACAUGAAGCAAACUAAAGUUAUGAGUAUGCAAAUUAUGUUCAAGCCUCUUGGACCAUAGCAUUAAACACCCUCCAUCAAAAUCAAAUGAAUUAGGCAUUUUACAAGUCAACGUUUUAUCACACAAACGAAACAAAGGAAAAUUAGACAUGCACGUUUUUAAACAUUCAUAUGUCUCGAUUCUCAUCCUUACAUUAUCACCACAAUCAAACAAAUGAAAAAGGUUACAUGAUUCAUUAUCUUGUACAACCAAACCUUGCAAUUGCCGAUUAAUGAUUACUUCACCAACAUACUCAUCAACAACACAUUCUUUAUGAGUAGCACUUUUAUUAUCAACACUUGAAACAAACAAAUCAUUCUUAAUCAAGAAAGAAUAAUCAACCAUGCCAUGGUACAAGUGCUUUUCAAAACCCAAAACAUUAACAAAGUUUCUGUCGACAACCGAAUGAGGCUGAUGUGUUUUAAAAACUUCAAAACUCAUACCUUGCUUACCUUUUGGCAAAGGUGAACGAGGAUCAUUGAAAAUGUUACCUCUUUCAAUCAACGUAAACCUUUUCUCCUCGCAAAGGUAUUGAAGUCGAAAUUCUUUGCUCGGAUCUUCAGAAACCUGAAAAGGAACAACACGAGGAAAUCUCACAUGUGGGUUAGUAGGAACACUACUCACUUUUCUUGUUCUCUUGCAUCUCUUUUUCUUAUUUCAUUUUCAUCGACAAUAUUCAUUUCUUGCUUAAUAUCUUUUCUCUCUUCAGACUCAAUUUCUUUUUCAAUUUUCUUUUUCUUCUCACAUUCUUUUUCACUCUCGAUCUCUUUUUCUUUUUCCUUCUCUUUUUCUUUUUCACUUUCUUUUUCAGUUUCGUUUUUCUUUUUCUCACUUUCUUUUUGCUUUCUUUCAAACUCUUUUUCUUUCAUUUCUUUUUUUCUUUUAAAUUCUUUCUCACUUUUUUUCACUUUUAUUACAAGAGGAAGAGUACAAGAGGGAAUCAAAAUGAGAGACUUCUCAUUGAGAAUAAGAGGAGGGGUCUUCAUAUAGACAAUAAUCAUCUCUUCGAGAUUGAUUCUUCAUCGAUGAAUAACUUGGUGUACACGAAGAUCGGCUUGUGCUUUCUUGUUUGCCACCAUAAAGGCUUCAAACUCGAAAUUUGUUUGACUUCGUCUCAAAUUCUUUGACGAAGAAGAUACAUGAUAUAGGUCUCUUCCCAAAUAGUCACUGGAUGAUUGUUUUCUUGAAAGACUUGAUUUCGUCCCUCGACUUUGCUCUCGUUGGGCUCUUGCUCGAUGAUCUCGCUUUUCUUGGAUAGGCUUGAUCUUUCUAUUGAGCAUGCACUCCAUCUCUUUCAACAAAUACUGAAAAUCAAAUUCUAAAAUUUCUUCUCGCAACAUGAUUUAGGAACAAAAAUAGUCCUUAAUACGAACUUUGAUAAAAUUGCCAUUUUGCCCCUAAACUUUCACAUAUUUACACUUUUGCCCCAAGGCUCGUAAAUUAAACCUCAUCCUAUUUAUAUUUUAAGACAUGCUGAUCAUUUUUCCCUUCUAUAGAAACAUCAAAUUCACACUCUAACAUGUACUUAUGAAUAUUAGGUAUUUUUACGGAUUAUGUCAUUUUACUCGUUUUUACAAAAAAUCACUUAGCAAAAGUUGUUUAACACAAUCUCAAACUUCAUAUUCUACCAUAAAACAUCAAAAUUCAUACAUAUCAUCCAUGGGUAAAAUUUUAAAUAUAAACCCUAGCUCAAAAUAUUGGUAGAAAUAGGUCAACCAAGCUACGAGGAUUUCAAAAAUGUAAAGAACAUUAAAAAUGGGCAUAGAAAUCACUUACAAUCAAGGCUUAAAAGUGUUGAAACCCUAGCUAUGUUGGAGAGCAAAAUUCAGCAGCAACUUAUGGAGAAGAUGAUCAUUUUUGUGUUAUUUUUCCCAUUUUAUUUAAUUUAAUAUUCAAAUGACCAAAAUGCCCUUCCUUACUAAACUUUCAAAAAUUCCAUCCAUUUCCAAUUUUUGUCCAUAAACUUAGAAAUUGGUAAAAUUGCUAUUUAAGACCUCCUAAUUAAUAUUUCAAAGCAAUUUCAUACUAGAAACUUCUAGAAUGCAAGUUUUGUAACUUAUUCAAUUUAGUCCCUAACUUCAAAUUGAGCACUUUAUGCAUAGAAUUUCUUCACGAAAUUUUUACACAAUCAUGCAAUCAUAUCAUAGACCUCAAAAUAAUCAUAGAAUAAUUAUUUCUAUCUCAGAUUUGUGGUCCCAAAACCACUAUUUUGAUUGGGCCCUAAUUCGAGAUAUCACAAGUUAUGUAGCUGAAUUGAAGUGUAUUAAAUGGUGGAGUUAUUUAGUUCAAGAAUUCCAAGAGACUUGAGCUUUAUUUCAGCUUUUAAGAUGUGACCAUUCAGCUAGCCUUUUCCUAGCCUUAUAAAUAUGUGUGUAAUCAGCCUUUUGAGGAAGAACUUUUUGGACAUUUUGUUAAUGUUAUGCUGCCAAAUUUGUGAGGCAAAAUUUUCUCUAUUUUCGUUCAAGGAUUCGUUGGCUACCUAGUGUUCUAGUUGUGUCAUCCAUUUUCUUUGUCGGAAACCAAACUUAUCACUAUUCGUAGUGUGGCAUUCAAACAUACCAAGGUUCCUACUUUGCUAAGUAGCGGGUCGAGGUUCUCAUAUUCUCCAUCUGACCACCUUGAAAACUUAUAAACAUUUGGGUCAAUAUUUUCUAAUAUUGGUUCGUGUUUGUUUUUGAGAUCAUUUUCAUUCCAUUCCGUUCCAUUUUUUCGUUUCAUUAUAAUCGAACCAUCAUUCCACUUCACAUCCGUUGUUUGAAAUCCAAUUACUAUAUUUAUCUUUAUCUUUUAUUUUAUUUUUUUCUAUAACUAAACCUACAAAAACUUCAUAUCCAUAAACCCAUCUUUGAAUCCUUUUUACAUAGCUUUCGCCAUUAUUUACUUAAAACAUCCUUUGAACAAAUCAAAUGAUACUUCUUCGUAGACGAUCGGGCAAACUCACAUACGACUCGACUCACCCCGAGACGGAUCAUAUCAGUUCUUGAGGUUUUCGUUGGGUCGAUCUUGAUACGAACCAUCUCGGGAAGAGUCGAGUCGUAUGUAGAUUGCCCGAUCGUCUACGAGAAGUUACGUUAGGAUUAGUUGAGUUGUAGGUAUAGUCGAGUAGAAAGAGGGGUACGAAUGGAAUGGUAGGAACGAAAGGGAAGGUUCAAAAAUGGUAUGAACAAAUUGGUCGGUUUAGGUUCGAUUAGGUAAAGAAGGAAGAACGGGUUUGAACUACUAAAGGGACUUUCAAGAACCAAUUACCGAAAUGGUAUCGACCCGUUGAGUUAGCCUUUUGAGUUCGGUUAGAGGUUUGGUAAGGGAAACCUCGACCCACUAUCUAACAAGAUAGGAACCUCGGUAUGUUGAACGCCACACUACGAGUAGUGAUAAGUUCGGGUACGACAAAGAACACGGUUGACACAACUAGAACGCUAGGAACGCCAAACGAAUCUUUGAACGAAAUAUAAGAAAAGUUUGCCUCACGAUUUUGGCAGCAUAACAUUAACAAAAGUUUCAAAAGUUCUUUACAAAGUAACACAAGCCACAAUUUAUAGUGAAUGCAAGGGAUAGCCGAAUAGGCUCUUAAGGUAGCUAAAUGGUUUCUGAAAAUUCCAGAAUUUUUGAAGAAGCUUCCUUGAAGUUUCUUGUGCAUGGAGAAUAGUAAGGGGCAGCUUCUAGAUGCCUUGAUUCAAUAGAAAAACUGAAUGAAUUGUUUGGGAGCUGAAAUGCCAUCAAUAGGUUCGGCCAAAUGCUUGAAUUUGGAAUUAAUGCCGCUACUUGAUUCAGCCGAAUGUUCAUGUGAUUAAGGAGCUAUCUAGAGCACUUCAAUAGUCUUAGAAUGUGAACAAACCGAUUUGAACAGCCACACAUGUGUGAACAAACAAAACCGAACAGCCCUUGGUGUGAAAGGAAUAAUCGGGUGGGUGUGAACAGCCUUAAUUUGUCUUGGGCAGCCAAUCGGUCUUCUUGAAGAGUUGUAAGGUUUGGCUGAAUGGUCACUUAGGGAACACCAAAGAGCAGCACACCAAUUUUAAGUCAUCCAUGCACCUAUGCCAUCCAAGGGGUAAUGUACCUACAACAUUUAAUUCAUCAAAUUAAAUCCCUUUUAGACACAUUAAAUUUGACAACAUAGACAAAUAAAUCUUGCACCAUAAAUUAGGCUGGACAUAAUUAAUCUUUGUAAUAGUUAAGACAUAUUUAAUUGGUCCUAAUUAAUUAAGUACUUAAUUUAGAACAUAAUUAAAACAUGUCCAGAUUAUGACAAAUUAAUUAUUAAAACAAAUAACUAAAAAAACUAACAGCAACUUAAAUUAUUUAUUCCAGCAUAAUAAAUGCAAUAAUGAAAUGAGCUGAAAUGAGCUCGUUGAGCUAAGUUGAGUUGAAGUUGAGCUGAUUUGAGCUUGAAGGAGUAUGCAUGGUUUGCUUGGCUUGCUGGUCCAAGAGCUUUCAAGAAGUCCAGCAACAGUUUCACCCCAAACUCUAUCAACUAAAGCUGUUGUUGCAUCUUUGAAUCUCUUUGCUUGAGCUCGGGUGAUCGGUCCUACGGGCAAUUCGAGAGGAUUUUCAUUGGCAGCCGACAACUCAGGUGAUACGAGUCACAAAGGCCCAACCCAAGCUUAAGAAGGUGAUGGGCUCAAAUCAAGAAAAUCAAGAAAAUCAAGAUUCACUUUCUUGUUUUCAAGAAAAUCAAGAAAUCGAAUCUUGGCCCAAUUUUGCUGUUCGGAGCGAUUUCAAGAAUCAAGAAAAUCAAGAUUUCAAAUCUUGGAAAUCUUGGUCCAAGAAACCGAAUCUUGCAGCCAAAGCGCGUUGGAUCUCCAUUACGAGCGUCAACAACCCAAUUUCGGUAGGAGAUGGAUCACAAGCCCAAAUUCUUAAAGGCGAGGCCCAAUAAGCAAAUUCCCAGCCCAAUCAAGAAAUCCAUACAUAUUUAGUUGAAAAUCAGGCCAAAAUGUCAAAGGGCCCAAUUUGUAAACAUUUUAGUUGUUUAAGUUAAUUUUUAAGUUUUAGGAAUAUCACAUGUUAAAUUUGGCCCAAAACAGCCCAAUAGGAUGCAUGGCCGAAUUUUCCUUUGUUUUUUUAAUUAAGUUUAAAUUUUUUAAGUUUUCUAAUUAGAUUAGGAUUUGUUGGAGGCCUAUAUAAGCAUUGGCCAGCCACCCUUUGUAAACAUCUUAUUAUUAUUUUUUCUAUCAAAUUUCAGAUUUGUUGAGUGCAGAAUUUUCUUUGGGGUUUUCUCCAAGAAUUCUGUCUUGAGUUUUCUUUAGAAGUUGUUUUAACAAUCUUUUGAUUGUGGGAGCCAUCUUCAAUCUUCUUCUUGCCAUCGAUAUUCUUUGGAGGGGAGAUUAGAGCCGUUUGAAGGAAUUUGUGAAUUCUUUCGGGAAUUCAAGGGUUCUUAGGACUUUUCUUUAUUUCUUGCUGUUUCGAUUUGUUUCUUUAUUCCUACUUGUGCCGAUUCAUCAUCUAAUAUUUUGCUGUUCUUGUUUGUGUUUCAGCCUUGAUUCAAACUCCAAGAACUCUUCAUUUAAUCGGUUCUUUUAUUGGCCACAUAUAAUCGACUCAAAAUUCCCCAAAAUUUAGGGUUCUUGCCGUUUCCUAUUUCUUCUUGUUGGGUGAAAUUCGGCUGCUGAAAUUUGGGCAAUUCAUAUUGGGUGUUCAAUUGGACCGAAUCACAACUUAAAUUCACUUCUUGAACUGUUCAAUUUCACCUAUUUCUUUCUUUUCUUUUGCCGCCCAAAUCCCUAAUCUUCCAAUUAAAAAAAUCUGAUUGUUUCAAUCUACUUACUGUUUUGGUGUUCUUGGCAGAUUCGGCUUGUGGGAGUUCAUUCUUGGGAAUCAAUUUCGUGUUCUUGGUUUCAAGAAACCUCUUUCAUAAGUGUUUCGUUCCUUGAUUAGAUCUUGCUGAUUUUUAGUGUUCUUAUUCCAGAUUUUAAUUUUCCAGAUUUAAUCUCGUUCUUUGUUUGAUUUUAGAUCUAUUCAUUUAGAGCUUUCGUAGGAGUUUCCCGUGACUUGGCAACUCGAUCUUGGUCCGCGCGCAUCCCUUUAUCAUCAGGAGGGGUGGUUGUAUCAUUCCCCCUCUCUUCGAAGCGAUUUGCUCCCAAAUCAUCACCUAUAUCAUAGAAAGAGAGAUCAGCUACAUUAAAGUUAGCACUUACAUUGUACUCACCUGGGAGAUCAAGUUUAUAAGAAUUAUCAUUUAUUCGUUCCAAAACUUGAAACGGUCCAUCUCCUCUCGGCAAUAACUUCGACUUUCGCUGAGCUGAAAACCUUUCUUUUCGCAUAUGAACCCACACCCAAUCUCCGGGUUCAAAAACUACUCGUUUUCGGCCUUUGUUCGCAUUACGCACAUAGGACUCAGUCCUAGCCUCGAUAUUGACCCGCACCUUGCUAUGUAAAUCCUUGACAAAAUUUGCCUUUUUCUUCGCAUCUACAUGGACAAACUGAUCAGUAGGUAAAGGCAAUAGAUCUAAAGGAGUCAAGGGAUUAAAACCGUAAACAAUUUCAAAUGGGGAGAAUUUAGUCGCAGAAUGGACAGAACGAUUAUACGCAAACUCAAUAUGGGGUAGACAGUCCUCCCACGUCUUCAAAUUCUUCUGAACGAUGGCCCGAAGCAAAGUAGAUAGAACUCUAUUGACAACUUUCGUUUGGCCAUCGGUUUGAGGGUGGCAUGUGGUCGAAAAUAGAAGUUUGGUCCCUAAUUUACCCCACAAAGACCUCCAAAAGUGACUUAAAAAUUUUGCAUCUCGGUCUGACACGAUCGUACGAGGAAUGUCAUGUAGUCUAACGAUAUCCCUAAAAAACAAGUUCGUAACAUGAACGGCAUCGUCAGUCUUAGCACAGGCAAUAAAAUGAGACAUUUUUGAAAAUCUAUCAACAACAACAAAAAUAGAAUCCUUCCCCGUUUUUGUGCGCGGAAGUCCGAGAACAAAAUCCAUGGAGAUGUCAAUCCACGGUGCUUCAGGAAUGGGCAAUGGUGUGUACAAGCCAUGGGGUUGAACCUUUGAUUUAGCCUUUUUGCAGGCUAUACACCUUUCGCAAACUCGCUCCACAUCUUUUCGCAUCCGCGGCCAAUAAAAAUGUUCAUGGAGAGUGGCUAGUGUCUUAUUGACUCCGAAGUGUCCCAUAAGCCCACCACUAUGCGCCUCAUGCACUAAUAGGUCUUGAACAGAUCCACAAGGAAUGCAUAGUUUACCUUCUUGGAAAAGAUAGCCCUCGUACCUAUAAAAAUUUUCAAAAGGACCUUUCUCACAAGAAACAAAUAUCUCUCCAAAAUCGGAAUCGUUUACAUAGGAAUCUUUUAAAAAUGCAAAUCCAAGAAUCUUAGAAUCCAAAUAUGAUAACAGAGUAUACCUUCUUGAAAGUGCAUCAGCCACAAUAUUAUCUUUACCUUUCUUAUAUUUGAUGACAUAUGAAAAUGACUCAAGGUAUUCAACUCACUUCGCGUGGCGUCAGUUCAACUUAUGUUGGCCUUUGAUGUGCUUCAAGGCUUCAUGAUCGGAAUGAAUAACGAAUUCCUUAGGCCACAAGUAAUGUUGCCAUGUCUCAAGGGCUCGUAUGAGCGCGUACAUCUCUUUAUCAUACACCGGAUAGUUGAGUACGGCUCCAUUGAGUUUUUCACUAAAGUAAGCCACAGGACGUCCGUCUUGUGUCAACACGGCCCCGAUUCCAAUGCCCGAAGCAUCGCACUCGAUCUCAAAAGUCUUCGAGAAAUCUGGAAGGGUAAGCAAAAGAGCGUUAGUGAGGCAAUCUUUGAUUUUUAUAAAUGAUUUCUCUUGUUCAUUGUUCCAAAUAAAAGAAGAAUUUUUCUUAAUAACACUCGUAAGUGGAGCAGCAAUUGUGCUAAAAUUCAAAACGAAUCGUCGGUAGAAACUUGCUAGGCCAUGGAAACUUUGAACUUGCGUAACGCUCGUAGGCCUUGGCCAAUCUCGUAUGGCCUUAAUCUUCUCUUGAUCUACUUCGAGACCAUCCGCACUAACUACAAAUCCUAGAAAAACAGUUUUGUUAGAACAAAAAGAACAUUUCUUUAAAUUAGCAUAUAAGGUCUCUUUUCGCAAAACUUCUAAAACAGAUUUGAGAUGACUUACAUGUUUUUCCAUAGAUUUGCUGUAAAUCAAUAUAUCGUCGAAAUAUACCACACAAAACUUACCGAUGAAAGGCCUUAAGACAUGUUUCAUUAGUCUCAUGAACGUACUUGGAGCGUUGGUAAGGCCAAAAGGCAUAACCAGCCAUUCGUAUAGUCCGUACUUGGUCUUGAAUGUUGUUUUCCAUUCGUCUCCUUCUCGCAUCCGAAUUUGGUGGUAGCCACUCUUCAAAUCGAUUUUUGAGAACACUUUGGCCCUACUAAGCUCAUCUAACAUGUCAUCUAAGCGAGGAAUGGGAUGACGGUAUUUGAUUAUUAUCUUGUUAACGACUCGGCAAUCCACGCACAUGCGCCAUGUUCCGUCCUUUUUCGGUACCAAUAAUACGGGAACAGCACAGGGACUUAGGCUCUCGCGAAUGUAGCCUUUUUCCAUCAGCUCAUUGACUUGUCUUUGCAACUCCUUGGUCUCCUCCAGAUUGGCUCGGUAAGCAGGUCAAUUUGGAAUAAUCGCUCCCGGCACGAAAUUAAUUUGAUGCUCGAUUCCACGAAGUGGUGGAAGACCACUCGGGGUUUCUUCCGAAAAACGUCUUGGAAAUCUUGCAACAAAGACAAAAUAGGAAGGGGUAGGGUAUCGGGUAAAUCGUUAGUAGAAAUUAAUGCUUCCUUAUACAAAAGUACAAGAACAGUUCGAUUCAUCACCAAAGUCUUCCUCACAUCACUAACUCUUGCAAAAACACUCAUUUUCUCGAUUUUCUUUUCUUUUUCUUCCUUUUCUUGGAUAUUUUUCUUGUCACUCUCUUUUGUUUUCUUUUUCUUAUUUUUCUCUUCUUUUAUUUUUUUACAACUUUCUUUUUCUUUUUCUCUCAUUUGCUCAAUAGAAGCUUUUAGCUUGAUUUGGUCUUCAUACACUUGUUUGGGAGUCAAUGGCGCCAACGUCACAUUCUUUCCCAUGAAUUUGAAUGUAUAUCGGUUGGUAUACCCGUCGUGUUGAACUCGUCUAUCAAAUGCCACGGUCGGCCAAGUAGCAAAUGCCCCGCAUGCAUCGGUACGACGUCACAAAGAACUUCAUCCGAAUACUUGCCGAUGUUGAAAGAGACAAGUACUUGCUUCGUUACCUUAAGCUCUCCUCCGUCAUUGAGCCAUUGAAGUUUGUAUGGGCUCGGAUGCUUGGUAGUAGGCAAACCAAGUCUUUCAACCAUCAUGGUACUUGCUACAUUGGUACAGCUGCCUUCGUCGAUAAUGACGCUACAGACUUUGCCUCCGACUUGGCACAGUGUGUGGAAGAUAUUCUCUCGUUGUAGAUUAUUCUCUGUGCCUUGGAGACUUAGACUUAGACUUCGUUUUACAACAAGUAGUUCUCCUUCCAUGGGUUGUUCCACGUCCUCCUCGACUUCGGAAGCCGAUUCAGAUUCUUUCUCCUGCUCAUCCUCCGUUUCAAUCUCGCCAUCGGCUCGCAAUACCAUGGUCCUUCGAUUUGGGUAAUGGCUUGCUAUGUGGCCUCUUCCGAGACACUUAAAACACUUAAUAUCCUGAUUUCGAUUGUAUGUCGAUUCGGGUGCCUUGCCUUUGUUCAUUUCGGCGAUGGGCUUGUUGGUUUUUGGAGGUACCGUGGUCUCCUUCCCUCGAGGAUUGGCAGGUCCUUUACUUGAUCCUUGGCUCCACUUUGAAGGGUUGGAAGUGGGAAACCCUCGACUUGGGCCUCUUCUCUUGAGUUGUCUUUCCACCUUGAUGGCCAUAUGGACCAUAUCAACCACUUUAAUGUAGUGUUGUAAUUCCACUACGUUUGCUAUAUCUCGAUUUAGACCAGCCAGGAAUCGCGCCAUCGUUGCUUCGGGAUCUUCUUGGACAUUCGCUCGAAUCAGCGCGAUUUCCAUCUCUUUGUAGUAAUCCUCGACACUUUUGGACCCUUGCGUGAGAUUUUAGAGUUUUUGGUGCAACUCCCGGUGGUAGUAUGCAGGGAUAAAUUGUCGCCUCAUCACCGCCUUCAUUUCGGUCCAUGUAGAGAUAGGACGUUCACCGUUACGCCUCCGACUAGUGGUCAGUUGUUCCCACCAAAUCAUGGCGUAGUCCGAAAACUCUAUUUCUGCUAGUUUCAUCUUUUUAUUCUCGGAGUAAUUGUGACAAUCGAACACCAACUCUAUCUUUUUUUCCCACUCAAGAUAGGCCUCCGGAUCUGAUCUACCUUGAAACGGCGGAAUAGACAGUUUAAUGUUCUUGAGAUCAUCAUCUUCGCGUCUUCGAUCUCGUUGUCGGUGUUGCCUACGUCGAUCACUAGCAUUAGACUCUUGUUCACUUUCAAGAUCACUAAGGUCAUUUGCUUCAUCGUCUUGGACCCUUCGUCUUCCUCGGUUCUGAUUUGGCCUCUCCCGUCUUGGUCUAACCCCCUCGGGUGCUCUUUCACGUUGGCCAUUCACUUCAACUUGGAACAAACAGUCUUCGAUAGGAUUGAGCCUUCGAUCUAGGAGUCACUCCAUUUCUCGUAAUAAGGCUUGCAUGUUUAAGUCGGGGACGUUGUGAAUGGGUUGUCUUGCCGGACGAUCUUCCACGUUGUGAUCUGACUCUUGUGACAUUAAAACGUUGUUAAAGUAAACCUCACCACAAAAGCUCACAAUCUCUCGAAAAGGAAAAGAAGUUGUUUCUCUCACACUCGUGUUUACACUCGAAAUUAUGCUUUUACCUCACUCUAUUGCACUUACAACUCUCGUGCCUUUUACCUCUCUUAACUUUUUCUCGUGAUUUCAUAAGCAGAUUCGUUAAGGCUUAGUCCUUGGUCUAGGUGGUCGGUUCAAAAGCAGUAACAAGUGAUUGAUGUAUUCGGUUUUCGGGUAGGCUGAAAGAAUAGGGAAUUGGGUUAAAAGUGUGGCGUAUUAGGAAGGGUAGGAUAGAAGAUGGAUCGGAAACUAUAUCAAAUCAAAGCUUGACGAUCAACUAACAAUUGAAUUGCAUAAAUAACUUUUUUUUCGAUUUUUUUUGUCGGAAUUUUUUUUUUCAAACUUGUAUAACUUUUUUUUGUACUAUAUCAGCAAACUAAAUACAAUAGAAGCACUUUUGUACACAAUUUUUUUUUCUUCGGCUGCGUAGAUUUUUACUUUUAUAAUAACAGCAACAAACCAAUCAAAAUGAGAAAACUUAGGUAUACAAUUUUUUUUCUAUACUUUUUUUUCUGACCCUACCUCGGGAAUGCUCCGCUUCGAGCGUCUAAGCUUCUCGUUUUAAGUAGCUCUGAUACCAGAUGAUACGAACCAUCUCGGGAAGAGUCGAGUCGUAUGUAGAUUGCCCAAUCGUCUACGAGAAGUUACGUUAGGAUUAGUUGAGUUGUAGGUAUAGUCGAGUAGAAAGAGGGGUACGAAUGGAAUGGUAGGAACGAAAGGGAAGGAUCAAAAAUGGUAUGAACAAAUUGGUCGGUUUAGGUUCGAUUAGGUAAAGAAGGAAGAACGGGUUUGAACUACUAAAGGGACUUUCAAGAACCAAUUACCGAAAUGGUAUCGACCCGUUGAGUUAGCCUUUUGAGUUCGGUUAUAGGUUUGGUAAGGGAAACCUCGACCCACUAUCUAACAAGAUAGGAACCUCGGUAUGUUGAACGCCACACUACGAGUAGUGAUAAGUUCGGGUACGACAAAGAACACGGUUGACACAACUAGAACGCUAGGAACGCCAAACGAAUCUUUGAACGAAAUAUAAGAAAAGUUUGCCUCACGAUUUUGGCAGCAUAACAUUAACAAAAGUUUCAAAAGUUCUUUACAAAGUAACACAAGCCACAAUUUAUAGUGAAUGCAAGGGAUAGCCGAAUAGGCUCUUAAGGUAGCUAAAUGGUUUCUGAAAAUUCCAGAAUUUUUGAUGAAGCUUCCUUGAAGUUUCUUGUGCAUGGAGAACAGUAAGGGGCAGCUUCUAGAUGCCUUGAUUCAAUAGAAAAAUUGAAUGAAUUGUUUGGGAGCUGAAAUGCCAUCAAUAGGUUCGGCCAAAUGCUUGAAUUUGGAAUUAAUGCUGCUACUUGAUUCAGCCGAAUGUUCAUGUGAUUAAGGAGCUGUCUAGAGCACUUCAAUAGUCUUAGAAUAUGAACAAACCGAUUUGAACAGCCACACAUGUGUGAACAAACAAAACCGAACAGCCCUUGGUGUGAAAGGAAUAAUCGGGUGGGUGUGAACAGCCUUAAUUUGUCUUGGGCAGCCAAUUGGUCUUCUUGAAGAGUUGUAAGGUUUGGCUGAAUGGUCACUUAGGGAACACCAAAGAGCAGCACACCAAUUUUAAGUCAUCCAUGCACCUAUGCCGUCCAAGGGGUAAUGUACCUACAACAUUUAAUUCAGCAAAUUAAAUCCCUUUUAGACACAUUAAAUUCGGCAACAUAGACAAAUAAAUCUUGCACCAUAAAUUAGGCUGGACAUAAUUAAUCUUUGUAAUAGUUAAGACAUAUUUAAUUGGUCCUAAUUAAUUAAGUACUUAAUUUAGAACAUAAUUAAAACAUGUCCAGAUUAUGACAAAUUAAUUAUUAAAACUAAUAACUAAUAAAACUAACAGCAACUAAAAUUAUUUAUUCCAGCAUAAUAAAUGCAAUAAUGAAAUGAGCUGAAACGAGCUCGUUGAGCUAAGUUGAGUUGAAGUUGAGCUGAUUUGAGCUUGAAGGAGUAUGCAUGGUUUGCUUGGCUUGCUGGUCCAAGAGCUUUCAAGAAGUCCAGCAACGGUUUCACCCCAAACUCUAUCAACUAAAGCUGUUGUUGCGUCUUUGAAUCUCUUUGCUCGAGCUCGGGUGAUCGGUCCUACGGGCAAUUCGAGAGGAUCUUCAUUGGCAGCCGACAACUCAGGAGGGGUGGUUGUAUCAGAUCUCUUUCUCAAUGACCCCGAUUUCAUUAACCUUGAUUCUGCACACUCCUAGCAGAUGUGUGGUUGCUCUCUUGAUCACUUGACCAUAAGGCUCUUCCCGAUUUUGAUUAGGUCACCCACGUCCUCACCUUGCAACCUCGAGGGUUCUUUCACGUUAUUCCUGUGCCUCGACUUGGAAUAGUUGAUCCUCGACGGACUCGAGCUUUCAAUUAAAAAGCGUCUCCAUUUCAUACUGAUACAAUCACGCCCAAGCGUCGUACUAGACCAGCUCCCUAGUGUUGCUUGCAAUCAUUUGCGAGCUGAGUUAGUUCAAAUUCCAAUUCAAUUGAUACGAUCACGGCUUCCCAUAAGCCAAGUCCAAGCCGAGAUCCGAUGGUGCUACCUCAAGGGCCGAUCAUAAGGGCUCGUGCAAAACAAUUUAAAGAAGCUGUUAUAGCCUUAGUUCAGCAUGUGUGGGAUGAUGUCAAUGCUAGACCUAUCGAACCAGUUAGUGGCCUUUUUGGAAAUCCAUGCCGAACUUUUCUAUAAGUUCAUUUCAGCUCACUCAUUGGGACCAUCAUCAACUCUUUCCUCGGAUUACCCGUUGAACACUUGGAAUACUAAUUGGAUACUCGGAAAAGCCUUUGCACAUAAGUGCCUCAAUUGUAGCUAAAGUUAUCUCAUAUCUCAUGACAUUUCAAUGCUCACUCUCGAGCUAGUCAUCUAGACUCAUAAUUCCUAGUGACAUGUCACUUGUAUCCUAUUCUAUUCUUAAGGUUCAAACGGGAUUUUUCCUCGUCUAUUAAGGCUUUGUCUUAUCAUAUUUCUAUUAAUCACAUACACUUAAUAUCUAUACAAUUCAUGUAAUGAUAACAUUUAAAUACAUGUAUAGCAUGGUAUUGUUUACAUACAAACUUACCUCGAUACCACAAAGGUGAAAAGGACAUAAUCAUCCCUUAAUCAAUUUCUUUCCGUUCUAGGUCCAAAUCUCGAUUUCCUUGAUCUAUAAUUUCACAUUUAGCCUACCAAGCAGUCACAAUAUUCAUAUGGGUCUAAAAAUCAUAUUUUUACAAAUAUUCAUUUUGACCCCUAAACUUUUGCAUAUUUGCACUUUUUCCCCAAUGCUCGUAAAAUAAUUUUUAUCACAUUUCUUUAAUCCAUGAGUCUAGAUGAACCAUUUUCAUAACUGUAGCAACUCAUAAUUUCAACUAUUUUACACAUUACAACUCAUUUUACAACUUAGCAAUCUAGCCCUUUUUUAAGGUGUUUUCAUGCAAUUUCUUUCACAAAAGUUGUUUAUUAGACAACUAGGACUCAUAAUCUUCCAUAAAAACACAGCAAAAAACACAUUUACUCUCAUGGAAAAAUCCUAGACUCUUCAUCAUUUUGCAAAAUAGUCCUCUCUUAUGAAAGCUCAUGCUUUAGGGAUUCUAAAAAUGUAAAAAUCAUCAAGCCAAGACAUUAAAAUCACUUACAAGCAAGGGAAAUAUGUUGCUAAAAUUUUCCAGCUUCAAAACCAUUUCUUUGCUGCAUAUUUCGGUGAAGGAGAAGAGAAAAAUCAUAGCUUUUUCUUUUUGAUUUGUUAAUAAUAAAACUAGUCAAAAUUGGUGACCAAAUUUCACCUAAUUUUGACUUUUCAACAAUUUUGUCUCCCAUGGCCGGCCAUCACACUUUCAAUGGCCUAAUUUCACUUUAAAUACCCCCAAUUUAAGAUACAAGGAAAUUUAACACCUUUAGGUAUUAAAACACAACUUUUACCUUUUACGCGAUUUAGUCCUUUUUCGAAAUUGGACUAGAAAUUGCUAAAAUUAACUUACCAAAAUUUACAUUCACUUAUAAAAUUAUAUUAUAACACAUAAAAUAAUUCUAAAAUAAUUUUCUCUGGCCUCAAAAUAGUGGUCCCGAAACCACUAUUCCGACUAGGCCCAAAAUCGGGCUGUUACAUUUCUUCCCCCCUUUAGGGGUUUUCGUCCCCGAAAGUCUUACCAGAAAAAGUUGCUCUCUACUUUCACGAGUCACUUAUAUCUUUUUCUCAAAACUUACAAAACAACUCAGCUGAAGCUCAUAUUCAGGAUUUCUGUAACCUUUCCACAAUUACCAUAAAAUUCUCGGCUCAAUUCAAAAUACUGAAAACUGACAUUCUAAGAACUAUAAGCUUAGAAACACAACUCGUCCCAAUCCGUCUAACAAUACCUCUGUAUAUGAAAAUAGUCAUGCGGACUACUAUCAUCAAUCUAUCAUAAUCCAUUAUGGUAUCUCUUAUUUCCCGGAGAAGAGAGACAUCCCGAUACAAAAUUCAUACUAAUCAUUUCUCAAUUUUCUCUUUCAAUGUUAGCACUGACAAUUAUAAUCUUGAAUAUAUCUGAUAAUCAGCUUUACCCAGUAGUCAAUUUAACAUCCUUUGGAUGAAUAAACAAAAGACUGCUGUGAACUCUGUACACAAUUCUCUGCAUAGCCUGGAGUUUCUCAGUACCCUAUCUUACUUUGAAAUAAUAGUAACAGAAACCAGAAAUCAAAUCUUCCUUGCAAUUCCAAAUUAAAAGUCGAAUCACGCUGUACUUGUUUAAUUUACCACUUAUAGCCACAUUUCUAUACUCUGAUCAUCAACUGUUUAGAAACUUUACUAACAUGAAUCAAAUGAUUCCAACUUCAUAGAUGUGGUCUCUUUAUUAAUCAGGAUAACUAUACUUACAACAUCUCUCGGACAAGAGAAAUCCAACUAAUAUGUUUCCAUAACAUACUUUCAAGAAUAAAACCCCAUCAUUUCUGACUGUACGACUACUUACCAAAGAACACGUAACGAUAUUCUCGAACCAGAGAAUAAACUUAAAUGCACAUAACUCAGAUUUACUUUUGCAGAAUAACCAUUCUUUACCCCAAGAAUUUUAAAGAAAUCUCGACACUGAAAUCCCCACACUUUUAUGGUCGAGCCAAAAGCUUAAUCAUAACGGAUUUUAAUAUCGCAAGUCAAAGAUUACUCGUAAAGAUAAGCCAAGCUUGAUAAUUCUCGAAACAAGAACGAGAGAAAAGCCAAUAUAAGAAAUUCCAAGAUAUAAAGACUAUACCAGAAAUUCGAGAAUAUAAUCCAGAAGAAAAUAAUAAAGAUGAUCUGGAAAAUCCCUCAGAGAAAACCAGAAGGAAACUACUGUCUGGACACUCUAGAAUUCCUCAUAACAGAGAUAAUAUAAUUCUCGUAUAUAUAUAAACCAUAAUCAAUAGAACAUUAGAAUAAUCUCACAUAGAUUUUUACUAUCAACUUCAUUUCAAUAUAUCAGAAUAGAAAUCUGAAGAGAUGGGGAAAAUGUCAAUCAUAACUAACUGGACUAAUAGAGCUUUUCAUCUAAUAUCACAGUCACUAGCAUCCUCGUAUGAUAGAAUUUCCAUUCGAAAGGGAUAACCAUACGUAUUCCCCAGAAAUGAGGAAUACAUAGAAUACUCAGAAGAGAAAGAUAGCCAUCACUUUUGUUUAAUUGAAUCUGUCAUACUCAGACAUCUGUGCAAGUCCGACAUUAUUCCUCUAACUAAUUCUGUCUUCGCUAAUCUCAUACUAUUCCAUUAUUGUACUCUUCAGUUUCACUUUUGCAAGCUUAUGCAACAUAUCUAUCGAAAAUCUCAUCGUAUAACUCUAUUCUGGUAAGGGGACGAAGAUUGUAAAGCCUCUAAACUUUUGACUCUCAAGCAAAUACAUAUUCAACAACAACAUAGCAUUACACACAUCGAUUCAAACCUUUCAAAUUUCCAACUUGUUAUGAACACAUUUUCACAUAUCUCAGUAAUACAUGCAACUUUAUUUCAUGCGAAUAUUAGCUAAACAUAAGUGAAUUUAUCAUAACUCAAACUUUCAUUUCUUUUUUUCUCAAAUUACCCUUAAUGUCUUAUCAAGUUUCCACAUUUAGUCUUAAUCACUUUCCAAUAUUUAUCAAAUUGGAGAACGUCUUAUGGUUUUCAGUACAUCAUUUACUUGAUGCCAUAGUCCAACUAUGGUCUUGUACUAGCUUUCUUCUAUCUAUGUCGAUGCCGUGUCCCAGAUAGGUCUUACACUGACACAUGUAACCGUGUCGAUGCAUGUCCCAAACAUGUCUUACAUUAGCAUAUCUCGUAGCCAACGCAUGUCCCAGACAUGUCUAACACUGGCUAACAUCUCAAGGCCGAUGCAUGUCCCAAACAUGUCUUACACUGGCUCUCAUACUGUGGCUGAUGCAUGUCCUAGACAUGUCUUACACUAGCCCUCGUCUCAAUGCCGAUGCCAUGUCCCAGACAUGGUCUUACACUGGCACACAAAUCUCAUCUAUUGCCACGGUCCAACCAUAGUCUUUUCUGUCAAUUCAUUAGUGAACGAUCGUACUCAUAAUCCUUUAUUAAACCAUUUGAAACUGACCCCUAAGCCUACGAUAAAGCCUUGGUGAGUCCAAAUACGAAAUUACGAAAGAAAUUUUGAGUGGUAAAAGGCAUGAGCGUGUGAGACUAUUCGAGAGGAGGUAAAAGCCAAUUGAGUGUAAACACGAGCGUGAGUGCAAACCAUUAAUUUUUCUUUCCGAGUGAAAUUGUGAGGAUUUUGUUGUGAGGAAUUUACUUUUGGUUUUGUCUAACAAAAUUUCUUUCCAGCAAUAACAUCAUGUCUCGCGAAGAAUUUACUGAAUUAGAGUUCCAAUAUUUGGUGCAAGAAAUGUGAAGAAUGGUGAAUUCUAAAUUCGAUACAUUGCACGAGAGAUUAGACCGUGUGAAGAAAAGAGACCAACAGGAACGAAUGUCUUCAAGUCGAAAAGUGGAAUCAAGAAUAUCAUGAAGACAUACAUUCAAUGAUCAUUCGAGAAAAGAUUUCCAUUGUGAUUCUUGAUACGAGCUCACCUCGGCUUGAUUUGAGUCGUAUGUAAAAUGCCCGAUUGUCUACGAGAAAGUGUCAAUGAGAAUUGGAUGGAGAAAGUAAUUUCGGUUUAGAAAGGCUUGGAUGUCUAAGUUUAGGUUAAAAAAAUGGUUAAUAAGUUUAGGUUCAAGAAAGAGAAGAGUUAGGAUAUUUGGUAAGUUGUUUCAGUUCGGAAAAGGAACGAAAUGUGGUUGAUCGGAAUAUUUAGGUAAUGGACGAAAAUAUGGUAAGGUUGGUCCUCAGAACAAGUUGAACCAAUAUUAGCAAAUAUCAACCUGAGACUUAUUAGUUCUUAAGAAGGUAUGGUUGAAGCAAAAUGGACCUCGACCCACUAUCUAGGCAGAUAGGAACCUCGGUAUGGAAGGUUUUGAACGCCACACUAAAAUCUAGUGAUAAGUUUAGUUUCAUAAAAGAAAUAGGUAGAUAAGCCAACAAAAUCUUAAUCGAGACUUAGAGAAGAAAAUUCUCACAAGAACAAAGGUUCGACUAUAAAUUUGGCAAAAAGUCCUUUUACAUAGAAAUGGGUAAACUAUUUAUAGUUUAACAUGUGUAGCCGAAUGGACAAAUUAGCUAGCUUAAAGACUAAGUAAUUUCAGCUAUGAACUAACUAGAAUGUUCUAGAAUGAAAACAUUAAUUAGCUAAGUCUUGAUUCGGCUGAAUGGAAAUGCAUUGGAUAGCUUCAUGCUUAAGCAAAUGUACUUGGAUGAAGGUGAAUGAACGGCAGCUCUCAUGCUUGUCUAGGUUUGGCCUUAGGAUGGAAAAAGCAUUAAAGAGGCAACUCUUGGCUGAAUGUCCACCUAGGAAUACCAUUGGUUCACUCACAUUCAUUCGGUCAUGCAUGGUACUUGGAUGGAAGCUUGAAUCUGGCCAUACAUGUACAUUCAUUAAAUGCUCACCAUUCAUGCAUGGUGCCGUCUAAAGGGAAUGUAUCUUCUCAAUCCAAAUGCAUGUAAUUAACCUUCCAUGUUCAUGAACUUAAUUCCUCCAAGCACUGAACCGGACUUGUACAUGAAUCUUCAAAUGCGUUAACUUGCUCGUACAUGCAUAUAACCUUUAAUGUACCUCCACAUUCGGCUGAACCUUGGUUAUUUGGAGAGCCAUGCCUGAAUAGUCACUUGGGGAACACAAAUGGGCAUCACACCAAUAUUAUUUCAUCCAUGCAACAUGCGUCCCAAGCUAUGCACCUACAUGAAUUAAAAUCAAUUCAUUAAAUCCCAUGUGAACACCUUAAAUUUGGCACAAAUGUGAACAAACAUUCCAAGCAUUAAUUUGGUUAUUACAUAAUUAAAACAUGUAAUAUAAACAUAAUUUAAUUACUAAUGUGAACUUAAUUAAAAGCAUAAUUAAUUUAUAAUAACUAACUAAUGAACUUAUUCAAGUAAAAAGUCAACACUACGAUAGUAAGCUAUAAAUAACUUCAUGAGCUACGAUUAAGCUCAUAAGCUGGAGUUGAGCUGGAUGUGAACUUGUUGAGCUAGAACUGAGCUUGCUGAGCUGGUUGUGAGUUGGGCGAGCCAGGAAUAAGUUACAAGGAUGACUCGGUGAACUAGUCCACAAACUCUCGAGUAAGCUGGUGAUGGAUUCAGCCCAAGCUCGAUCAAUUAGAGCUGAGAUUGCAUCUUUGAACCUCUUGGCUAGGGCUCGGCUAAUCGGUCCUACGGGCAACUUGAGAGGAUAUACAUCGGCAGCUGGCAACUCAAGAGGUGUGGUCGUAUCAAUUCCUAUUCAUCAUCGACUUCGAGACCAAGAGAUUUCAAUCGAGAUUUCUUUUUGUUAAGGAAUUCAAGACUACGAGAGUCUGACCUCGAUUUUGAACGCGUCUAAGAUGACAUCCAAAGAGAUAGGCAUGUUUGAUCUUUAAAGAAAUCCUACUCAGAGUAUUUUUCAUGAAGCAUUGAUCAAGAUUCUUAUGCAAAUAAUUUUCCUUCUUUUGAACAAAAUCAUUGUUUUCAUGAUUCUUUUGUAUCUUCUUGUAAAAAGAAAAUGAGAAAAGCAAAAUAAGAAAUAAAAGAGAGGCAAGAGAGAAAAUGAGAGAUUCUUGAAAGAGCUCGAGAAAGUCAUUGAAAAAGCCGAUGAGAAAGAAAAAAAGAGAGUGAAAAUGAGAUUGAAAAAGAAAUUGAAAAAGAGAAUGAAAAAGAGUUUGAGAGAGAAAAAAAGUUGAACAAGAACAACUAGUGGAAAAAGAGAUUGAGGAAAAAGAAACGAGAGAUCUCGAGAAAAAAGAAUCAAGUGAAAAAGAAAGUGAGCAAGCAAGGAUUGUUUCCACUAACCCACCUAUUCGAUCUUCUUGUGAUGUAACUUUUCAGGUUCCUAAAGUCUUGUACGACCAAUUCCAACUUCACUACCUUCCAAACAAGAGAUGUUUUCAAUUAUUCGAGAAAGGUAAGUACGCAAAUGAUGACCACCCACUUCUGAUUGAAGGUAAAAAGGGUAAGGAAUCCAUCUUUAUCAAAUCAAGGUCGUCCAAUUUAAAAAUUGCUCAUAAAGAUUUUGAUGGGUCAAUUUCUGACAUGCCUCCAUCAUUUGAUUUGAUUAGUCCUUGUUCAUCUCUUGAUAACCCUGCUUCGAAAAGUGUCGUGAUAAUUCUGUCUUAUGACACGUUUGAUCCUUCUAUUGGAUUGGCUUACAAUCAUAAACGUGAUUUUAUCAAGCACAUCUAAAAUUCAAUCAUAAAUGUGCCAAACUUGAACUUACAAGCUCUGAUUCGUGAAGUGAUACGAACCGUCUCGGGAAGAGUCGAGUCGUAUGUAGAUUGCCCGACCGUCUAUGAGAAGUUACCUUAGGUUUAGUUGAGUUGAAGGUAUAGUCAAAGUAGAAAGAGGGGUACGAAUGGAAUGGUAGGAACAAAAGAAUACGAACAAAUUGGUCGGUUUAGGUUCGAUUAGGUAAAGAAGAGAACAGGUUUGAACUACUAAAGGUACUUUCAAGAACCAAUACCGUAAUGGUAUCGACCCGUUGAUUAAGCCUUUUGAGUUCGAUUAUAGGUUUGGUAAGGGAAACCUCGACCCACUAUCUAACAAGAUAGGAACCUCGGUAUGUUGAACGCCACACUAUGAAUAGUGAUAAGUUCGGGUACGUCAAAGAACACGGUUGACACAACUAGAAUGCUAGGAACGCCAAACGAAUUUUUGAACAAAAUAUAAGAAAAGUUUGUCUCAUAAUUUCGGCAGCAUAACAUUAACAUAAGUUUCAAAAGUCCUUUACAUGGAAAUUGAACAAGUAUUUGUAGACCUAAGUCCAGGUAGCCGAUUGGCCUUUCAUGCUUACACAUUAAUUAAAGAAAAUUCUAGAAAAAUGACCCUUAAUGUGCAUGUCUAGAUUCGGCUAUGGUAAUAGGAAAUGAAUGAAUCUUCAUGCUUAAGAAAACUCAAAGUGAAUGCAUGAUGUCCAAUGGUCACUUGUAGGUUCGGCCAACCUUGUUAAAUGAAGCAAUGUUUGGCCAAAAAGUAUGAAUUAAUUGUGGACACUCCAAGGGCCAUCAUGUGUGUGAAACCGAAUGUUGAAGAGUCUUCUAGUGUGAACAAGGUGAACCGAAUAGUCUUGCCAUGUGAACAUGGGUGUGAACGAAUUAAGGAGAGUCAUGGGGAAGCUAAUUGGCUAAGCUAUCUUCAUGCAUGUGUGAGUGUCCUUUGGCCGAAUGGUCACCUUGGAGAAUGAAGAGAUAGCACACCAUACAUGAAUGGAAACAUUCAUGAACCUUAAAGACAUGGAAUAUGGUCAUACAUGCACUUGGCCGAACAUGCACCUAAGAGAUUCAAGUCCCCCAACCGUCCAUGCACCUUCAAAAUUCAUGCUUGCUUUUAAUCUCCAUAUGUCCAUUGCGUUUCUACAAGAAAUGUGAACAAAAUUAAUUCAAACUAAUGUGAACACAAAUAUCAACAUUAAAUUCGGUUAUGACAAAUUUAAUUAUCAUCAAUAAACACUUUUAAGACAUACUUAAUAUAACUAAUGAUACGAUCGUGACCUGGAGUGCAUCAAGUUCGAGCAAGGACUCAAUGGUGCUGCCUCAAGGACCAAUUACGCGAGCUCGAGCUAAGCAAUUCAAGGAGGCCGUUUCGGCCUUAGUUAAUCAAGUGUGGGGCGAGGCUUUGGUUGGAGAAAUAGAUCAAGUUGGGACCAGCUUAAUAAAGCAUCCUUGCAACAUUUUGCAAACUAAUUUCAGCUCAAUUUCCGCUCCUUGAACCCGUUUCAACUAAAUUGAAAUUUUAUUUAUUUCUUUUAGCUUUGCAUUUAGUUUGCAUUUUAAUACUUGCAUUUAAGCCUCUUAGUUUAAUAAAUGAGUUGCUGGUCAUUAAUACAACUCAUCUUAGUUUAAUUAAAUGAGUUUAUUUAAUGAAUUUAAUUUAAUGAGUUGCUUCUUUAAUUAAUCUAGUUAAUAGGUUAAUUUAUUGGUGCAUGAGUUAAAGUUCAUUAAAUACUUCUUUUAAUUAACUAGUUGAUUGGAAUAAAUGAUGCAUAAGUGUGUGUUCAUUUAUUUACGUAGUUGUUAAUUUGUUUAAAGUUUAAUAAUUGAAUAAAUGUGAUGGUUACAUAUGUUUUAAUUGCAGGUGACUUUUCAAUUCACAAAGGCUGUUACGCAUUCAAUAAAGGAGACUUUUCAAGUUAUUUUGGUUACAAAAGAGGGGGCUGUUAUAAAGGAAGCAUUAAGCAUCAUUAAAAGAGAGUUUAAAGGAGCAUUUCAUGUCCUUUAAAAUCUGGUAGCAGCUUGUUCAAAUACCCCAACGUUUUUGCUACUUAAUGGACAAUUUAUGCAUUGCAAAUUUCAUUAAAGUGGCUGGAGUCUAUUCAACUAGCCAAAGGGAAAAUCAAGAGUCAUUUUUCAAGUCUUUAAGGACAUUAAUUCAGCUAGUUAAAGAGAGGAGUUAUUGACUCUAGAAUUUCAAAAGUCUUUGAUUUAUAAUUAGCCCUUUAAUAGCACUUUACUAUGUGACCAUUCGGCUAGCUCAUUUUAGCCUUAUAAAUUCUUGUAACCAAGCCUUUUGGGGACACUACUUUUUGGACAUUUUUGAAUGAUAUUCUGCCAAAUUUGUGAGGCAAACUUUUCUCUGUUUUCGUUCAAAGAUUUGUUGGCUACCUAGUGUUCUAGUUGUGUCAUCCAUUUUCUUUGUUGAAAACUGAACUUAUCACUACUCGUAGUGUGGCGUUCAAACAUACCAAGGUUCCUACUUUGCUAAGUAGCGGGUCAAGGUUCUCAUAUUCUCCAUUUGACCACCUUGAAAACUUAUAAACAUUUGGGUCAAUAUUUUCUAAUAUUGGUUCGUGUCUGUUUUCGAGAUCAUUUUCAUUUCCAUUCCAAUUCAUCUUUUCGUUUCAUUAUAACCAAACCUACAAAAACUUUGUUAAAACAUCCUUUUGAACAAAUCUAACGCUACUUCUUCGUAGACAAUCGGGCAAACUCACAUACGACUCGACUCACCCUGAGGCAGAUCGUAUCAACUAAUGUGAACUAAAUUUAGUAUGUAGGAUAUUAAUUAGCUAAUUAUUGAACUUAUUAAUUAAAAAUUCAAUAGUAGUCAAAUGAAUUCAAAGUGAACUCCACGAGCUGAUGGUUAAUUCAUGAGCUAAACCUGAGCUAGGCUUAAACUCGUGAGCUGAUAAUGAGCUGGUCCCGAGCUAAUAAGCUGGUGUGGAGCUACAUGGGAGCUAACUUCAACUGAAGGUGAGCUCGGUGAGCUGAACUGAACUUGUAGAAAAGUUCGGCAUGGAUUUCCAAAAUGGCCACUAACUAGUUGAUAGGUCUAGCAUUGACAUCAUCCCACACAUGCUGAACUAAAGCUAUAACGGCUUCUUUAAAUUGUUUUGCACGAGCCCUUGUGAUCGGCCCUUGAGGUAGCACCAUCGGAUCUCAGCUUGGACUUGACUUAUGGGAAGCCGUGAUCGUAUCAUGAAGUCAAGUGAUUGUUAGAUCACAAGUUGGAGCCAAUACAAGACUAACACGACCAAGUGAAAGGAAGAGGUUGACGGGCAAGGACCCCAAUAAGUCCACCUAGAGACAGUGGCCGAAGGCAAGUUUAAGAUGACGAGGUUUUCAAACCAAGUGAAGUCGAAAGUGAUGUUGGCUCGAAUAUUAGUGAUCGGUGAAGAGGCCAACGUCGUCAUAGUGGCCGGUAACUUAUGACACGUGAUAAUUCUGUCCCCUAAUUGAAUUUUAGAUGUGCUUGAUAAAAUCUUUGCACAUACAAAUUUUGGUUAUAUAAACUCUUUGAAUUCAUGUGUCAAACCUUUCUGUUUAAACAUGUCUGAUCAGUUGAUUUGCGAUAGGUUUCUGUAUGAAACAUUUCAUCCGGUUGAUUUUUAUCUUUGAGUUAAAUCCUUAAAUUUUUGUGCGAACUCUCCAUGUCUUGAUUUGCAUUCCCGAUUGAGAUUCUUGAAGCGUAAUUCUUUGCUUAUUGGUCUGCCUGGUAUUUCAAACUCUACGCUUCUGAUUGAUUGAGUAAGGUUUGAAUCAUGUGAUGGACUCGAAUGCUUGAAAAGUUGUAUGUUUACCACUUCUUUGAUUGCUCGAGUGGAAUUUCAGUCAAAUGGUGAGUUGAUUAUAUUUUCUUCUAACAUGUUGCCUAUUGGAAUUAUGUUACGUAGAUUUAUUUUAUGGAACAUUUAAGUAUUUUGCAUCUUUUGCAUUCAACUUAUGUUUGAUUGAUGUUCUAACUUUUGUUAAGGAAAUGAAAUUUGAUAAUUUGGUUUCCAAUUUUGAUUUGUUCUCUAAUCAUUUUGCUUGGCCACAUAUAAAGGUUUUGUUUCAUUUUGACAAGAUAAGGUUGACUUAUGCUAUUGGACUUGGAUUAGAUUCCAAUUAUGAUUUAUCUUUUCCAUUUAAGCCUAUUAUUUUCGUUAAUACUAACUGAUACGAGCACGCCCCACGAACUUUAUCGAGCAAGUCUGUCAAGCCGAGCAAUGACAUGUUGGCAAGCUGAUCCUAGCUCGUUUCCAGCUCCACGAGCUCCAUCCAGCUCAAAUCCAGCUUAUUCGAGCUCAAUCCAUCUUGCCUGAGCUAAACCGAGCUCACUCCUAGCUCACUUUCAACUCACGAGCUAAACCUUAGCUCAACUUCAGCUUAGGAGUUUAGCCUCAGCUCAACUUUAGCUCACGAGCUAAAGCUUAGCUCAUUUUAGUUUAAACUCGGUUUUGUCUUUAAUGCAUUAAAUAAAAAUUUGCACAUAUUUAUUUAAGCAUUAAACUUGUCUUAUAUUAAUAUUUGUUAUUAAUAUGUCAUAGUCAUUACAUAAAUUGAUUAUGUUCACAUAGCUGAAUUAAUGCAUGACAUUAAUGUGUUCACAUCAUAUGAGAUAUCUUAAUGACUUGUUUAUUUCAUGUAGGUACAUCCCUUUGGACGGUACAAUGUAUGGAUGAAGAAACAUCUCUUUUGGGCAUUCCACACUCAUGAAUGAAGAAGUAUUAAAUGCUGGUGCAUGUACGGCUAGAUGCAAGGUUUCUACAAAUUCAUGCAUGUGUCGAAUGCAUGUAUGGACAUUAAAGGCUAGUCCAUGAAUGGAUCAAAUGCAUGGGAUGAUAGAAUGCAUGAAUGGCUUAAGUGCAUGUAUGGUGGCUGUCUCCUAACUUUCCAAGGCACUUAUUCGGCCAAGAAGUAGCUGUUCACACUUUGAAUUGACCUAUAAGCUACUACACAUGCAUGGAUGGGUUCAAGAACGUCCAAAGCAAGGAAUUAACUCAAUAAUUCAACACAUUGAUUGAAUUAAGUGUAUGCACAAAGGGGAGAACGAAUUUACUAGGUUCAUGCUGCCAUUUAUGAACCUACAUGCUAUUAAAGAGUUUAAUUAUGAGGAUACAUGUUCCAUACAAGUGAAUGAACGUCCCAAGGAGAUGAAUGCAACCUUUGGUGCACAUACAAGUCACUUGAAGCCUUUCUUUAUGAUUAAGCAUUCAUGCACACACUUAGGGGGGAAAAGUGUCCAUUCAACUAGCUCAUGAAUCUGCCGAAUUUAUGAACUAUUUUAAUACAUUAGUGUGAACGUUUUUAUUAUUGUGUGAACACCUAGAUGCCAAAUUUGAAUGGUCAUCUAUGUGCCUAUAAAUAUUUGUUUUUCUUUCAAUUGUAAGGAACUUUUUGCCAAAAUUUUUAUUGAAUUUAAUCUUGUGAGAAUUUUCUUCUCUAAACUUUGUUUGAGACUUUUGAUACGACCCUGCCCUGGAAACAUUUCUUGGCUCGACUCACGAGCGAGGCUCGUUAUUCUCACAAGCUCGUCCCAGCUCAAUUUGGGCGGAUUCUAGCUUAUGGAGCUAGAAUGCAAUUUAUUUAAUUAAGUUUGCAUUUAGAUGAUGGAAUAAAUAAGUUGCUGAUUAGUUAAUUAAAUAAGUUAAUUAAUUUGUUUAAAAAUUUGGACAUUUUUAUUUUAAUGUGUCUUUGUUUAUUACCUAUUAAAUAGAUGUCUAAUAGUUAAUUAAGUGUGUCUAAAUUUAAGACAAAUUUAAUUCAUGUUGUCAAUUAAUUUUUCCAGACGAAUUUAAUGUGCAGGAUAUUGUGUACUUUGGACGAAUUUAAUGCUGUUAAUUAAUGUGUUUUGCUGCUGUUGUUUAAUGCUGCUGUUGUUUAAAUGUAGAAUGUUAAACAUGUCAUAGUUCCAGCCGAAAUUAAAAGCAUGGAUAAAUUGUCUUAAUGGCUGCCGAAUUUAUUAUGCCUUGUUGACCAUGUGGCUGUCGAAUUUAAUAAGUCUUAUUGUUCCCUUUUAAUUUGUCUUAAAAUGAGAGUUAAUGGCUGACUUUAAUAGGUGCAGGUACAUGGACGGCAUUUAAAGAAAAGGUGGCUGCUGCAUUUUUCCAAAGCUGCCGAAUUUAUUGAGUGCAUGGGACUUGGGACGGCAUUUAAAGUGAAAGUUGCUAUUGUAUUUUCCCAACCAGCCGAAUUUAGUGUGUGCAUGGGACUUGGGAUAGCAUUAAAAAGAGGAGGCUGCCGUUGCAAUUUUCUAAGCUGAUUAUUCAGCUCACCAACGUAUUUUUAAAGCUCCACCAGCCGAAAUUGUUCCUUUCACACCCUAAGUCCUUUCAUUUUCGUGUGUUCACACAUAAGGGCUGAUUAUUUCCCUCAGUUCACACAUAGGAUCGGUUGGAGAACCCAAUCUGAAUUUUAAGAAGUCCAAUCUGUUUAGCUGAUCAAGGAGCCGCAAUUAAGGCCAAGCUUCACUCCCUAGGCCGACUUUACAUGCACCAUUCAACAACCAAGGCUUCAAAUUUUCUCCAGCCGAAUUUCAAGGCAUCUAGAAGCUGAAUUUGACCUCCCAAAUGCAUUAGGAAGCAACUUAGAAUUUUAAGCUUAAUUAAGUGAAUUUAGAGAUGGAAUUUCAGCCAAGUAUUUUGUCCAUUCGGCUAGCCCUUAUUUGGCUAUAAAUUUCGAGUUCAAACAUGUAAAAAGGACUUUUGACUUUUGAUCAUUUGAAUGAACUUUGUUCAAAGAGUGAGUUUUCUCCUCUCUAAAUUCGUACGAGUUUCGAUCUGACUUAUCUAGCGUGCUAGUGGCGUCUAUCGUUCUCUUUUGAACUUAUCACCUUGCUUUGGUGUGGCGUUCAACCCUUCUACAAUUCCGCAAUCCCACCUUGAACCGAAUAGAAAUCGGGGUGACACUUUUUAGUGUUGAAUCGUUUCUGGCGUUUAAGCUCAUUUAUCCAUUCCACCGACUAUCCUAGAUUUUACCCAACUAUAAUAUCUUUUUACAAAACCGAGCCUUCAUUUAUCAACUUCCAUUUUUCUUAUUUUUAUCCUUAAAUCGAGCCUACUACCCUUAUAAAUUUACCAUCUCCUUAGCCAACCUUUAAAACCAUUUGAAAGCUUCCGCAUCUUUAGCCUUAUUUCAUCCUAUUUUCGAUAACUCAACUAUUCCUCGUCGACGAUCGGGCAAUUAUGUGAAAUGACUCAAUUAAUUCGGGCCGGAUCACAUCAACUUUGUUGACUUAUCUACCUAGUAGUGGCGUCAACCCUGUUUCGUUUACCCUUAUACCGAGGUUCCUACUUUGCUAAGUAGCGGGUCGAGGUUUAUCACUUUCAUCCUCCACCUUGAAAGCCUAUAAGCAUUUGGGUCGAUAUUUUCUAAUAUUGGUUCGUGCUUGCUUUUAAGAACCCUUUUCUUCCAUAUCCAUCAUCUAUUUACUUCUUUCACUUUCCCUUCCAAUUUAGCCGAAUAUACAUAUUAUUCUUAUCCAUAAACCAUCAUAGAACCAUUAUACAUAGCUUCCGUCCUAUUUUUUCCAUCAACUUCAUUUCAAAAGUGAAUUGAACGAUACUUUCUCGUAGAUGAUCGGGCAACUCAGCAUACGAAUUGACUCUCCCCAAGGCGGUUCGUAUCACUAACCCCUCUCAUUUUUGUGAAUUCCACCCUUAGAGAAGCAUGAGAUGUCGUGGUGCCUCAUUGUUCAUUCAAAUUGAUCGAAGUAAAAGGUUUGUUUUACAUUACCUUUCCGAGGAGAGAAGAUUUGUUUUGAUUGGAAAAGGUAAAACUAUUCAUGAGAUUUCUUCUCUUAAAGGCUGUCAAGGUAAAGUUUCAGAAAAUAUUUGAACAUCUUUGCUUAAUUCGAAUAAAGCUGCAAAUCUUUGUCAUAUAUUAAUGUUUGAACCUUAUUUGGAUCUUGAUGUGGUUGAUUUUUCUCCUUGGCCUUGUAAUAAUCUGUUUGUGUUGGAAUGUGAUAAUUGAUAAGAAUUCGCCUCAGCUUGAUUUGAGUUGUAUGUAAAAUGCCCGAUCGUCUACAAGAAAGUUUAGAUGAAUUGGAUGAAGAAAGUUAUUUCGGUUUAAAGAGGCUUAGAUGUCUAAGUUAGGUUCAAAAGUGGUUAAUAAGUUAGGUUCAAGAUAGUGCGGAUGGUCUCGAGGUAGACCAAGAGAAGAUUAAGGCCAUACGAGAUUGGCCAAGGCCUACAAGCGUUACGCAAGUUCGAAGUUUCCAUGGCCUAGCAAGUUUUUACCAACGAUUCGUUUCAAAUUUUAGCGCUAAGUGUGCGGGUUUAAAUUGUACAGCACUAAGUGUACGAGUUUGAUUAUGUAGCACUAAGUGUGCGAGUUUGAUUAUGUAGCACUAAGUGUGCGAGCUUGAUUAUGUAGCACUAAGUGUGCGAGUUUGAUUAUAUAGCACUAAGUGUGCGAGUUGAUUAUAUAGCACUGAGUGUGUGGACUUAAUAUAUAUUUUUGAAUCACUAUGGGCACUAAGUGUGCGUCAUUAUUGAGUUAAUCACGGACAGCGGAUCGGGUAAGUACCUUGAGUUCGUGACUACUAGGCGCUAUGUUUAUAUUUGAAGUUGAGCUUGGUAAGUUUGAACCUAUGUGACAAUUAUAAUUGAAGUCACGUACAUAAGAUUUAUCGUGGAAUAGGUGAAAGGUCGUUUAGUGAUAUGAUUGUAACGAAAAUAAAAUGAUGUAUGAAAAUGCCUCGAAUAUCCUAUUGAUUAUUAUAUGGAAUGUGAAUGCAUGACUUGGUAUGAGAUUGAACCGAUAGGUUUGAGGAACUAUGGUAUGGUUCGGUAUGAAUGGAGUAACUAGCCUCGUUCCAUUUUGCUUCCUCUUGUGAUAAUGUUAUUAAUGGAUGGUAGUGCAUUGCUUAUGACUUACUGAGUUAUAUACUCACUCGGUGUUUCCUUGUCACCUAUUUUAGGUUUCUUGGACUCGUCUCUUUUUGCGUGAUCGGGCCGUCAUUGGAGUCAUCACACCGGCUAGCAAGUUUUGGUACUUUCUUCUUAGUCGGCUUAGGAGAACAUUUCGGCAUGUAUAGGCUAUUAUGUUGUGUUUGAACUUUGGUAUGUAAACUUUUAGUCAUGCGAAAAUGGCAUAAAUGUUCGGUUGGGUUUGGUUUCAUAACGUUAGGUCGUAAAUCUUGAUAAUUCGACCUUUUUAUGCCAUAUGUCAUGGUUGAUUAUUUUGGUGUUAAAAUUCAUGAUAUGGCAAUAGUGUAGUAGGGAGAUGUUUGACAAUGAUUAGCCUUUGGCAUGGCUAGUCAUGAUCAUAAUUGGUGCUAUGUAUGAUGAAUUACUAGUUAGAUCAAGGAGAAAUCACGAAAUAGGCAUAGUUGCUUUCGUAACAGAUGCUGGCAGCAGCAGUGACGUGAGAUUGAAAAAUCACUAAAAAUAGUAGGAGUGGAAUUAAUUAAUGAAUAAAUUAUGUAAUCGAAGCUUGAUGAGUCUAUGUUCAUAUAGAAGUAACGAAAUGAUCAUAUAGACAGUAUGUUAAGAGAUAUUCAGGUUCUCGUUAGACAGGGCCAGAACGGUUUCUGGAUUCCCUGUUCCGACUUUGGAAAUUCAUUAUAAAUUAACCAGAGAUAAUUAGGAGUCAUGCCAUAUAUGUACAGAUUCCUCUCUGAGUCUAGUUUCUAUAGAAACAAACGCCAUCGGUAUUGAAGCUCUGUGCAGGGAGAUAUCCAAGUCGUAAUGCGCAAAGGUCAGUGUAGUCGAUCCCUGUAACAUGGGAGACUUUGACUAAUAAACUGUAUUAAUUGGCCUGACAAAAAAUUCUACAAAAAUUAUACCAUAUAGGUAUAUGAGUCUAGUUCCAGGGAAAAUUUACGGAACUGGAUUUCGAGUUUCAGAACUCAAGAUACGAUUUUUAAAGCGACUAGUACGCAGAUUGGCAGCUUGCCUGGGAAAUGUCAAAUAAGUGGUUUGAAGUCUGUUAACACCUCGUGUUCGACUCCGGCGAUGGUCUCGGGUUCGGGGUGUUACAGUUGAAACUCGAGAGUGAGUGAAUUUUUCUUUUUGAGCGAAUUUGUGAGGUUUGUGGUAAGGUAUUUAUUUUCUUUAUUAUUUUUUUCUAACAUCUUUUCAUUACUUAAUCAUGUCUCGAGAAACAUUUCCCGAAUCAGAAUUCCAAUAUUUGAUGCAAGAGAUGCGUAGAAUGGUGAAAUUAAAAUUUGAUAAAUUACAUGAUCGAUUGGAUCGAGUGGAGGAAAGAGCCCGAUGGAAGCCAAACUCACCGGGUCAAGAGACAAAGACAAGAUCAUCACGAAAGCACACAUCCCAUGAUUAUUCGAGAAGAGAUUCAUACCAUGAUUCCUAUUCAAUGAGGAACUCAAGACGAAGCAAAGCAAGUUUUGAGUUUGAAGCUUUUCAAGGUGACGAACAAGAAAUCACAAGUAGUCAUUCGUAUGCACCAAGGUAUUCGUCCGCCAAGAAUCAAUCUCGAAGAGGUGAUCAUUUUUUGUAUGAAAGUCGUUCCAAUUAUACCCAACGAGGGUCAUUUCGUGCUGAUUCAUUUGUAACAUCUCCAUCCUAUAAUGAAAGAGCGAGGCAAAAAGAAAAAGAAAUAAGAAGAAAGGAAAGACAAGAAAUGUUGAUGAGAGAAAAUGAGCAUAUAUGGAAUGAAAUCGAGAGACGAAAAAAAGAAAUGAAAGAAAAGGAACAAGAAAUUGAAAAAGAGAGUGAGAUUGAAGAAAGAAACGAGAGUGUAAAAGAAACGAGUGUCAUGGAAAAAGAAAUUGAGAUUGAAAAAGGAUGUGAAAAAGAGAAAGAAAUCGAAAAAGAAAUUGAGAUUGAACAAAAGUGUGAGGAAAAGAGAAAAUUGAAAAAGAAAGAAAAGACAAUGAGUUAGAAAAACAAACGAGAGAAAAGGAGGCAAAAGAGCAAGAAAAAGUGAGGAAUCUGUUUACUAAACCACAUGAGAAUUUGUCUUGUUUUGUUUCCUCUUUUCAGGUCUCCGGAAGGCCAAGUGACGAUAGUUUUCAACUCCAAUACCUCUCGAAGGAGAGAAGGUUCAUUUUGGCUGAAAAAGGUAAUGUUCUCAAUGAUCCUAGUUCGCCUAUGCCAAAAGGUAAGCAAGGUAUGAAUGUUGAAAAUUUUAAAGCACUUCUGCCUUACUCGAUUGUUGAUGGACACACUGUUGAUGAUUUGGUCUUUAGAAAUAAUCUGAACUUUGACGUGGCUAUUUGUCAUUCUUUGAUUGAUGAUGAUCCAUUUGUUUUGUCUAAUGAUAAAAAGAUUCUUGCUUUUGAAAAAUAUCAUUUUGAUGGUAUUGGUUGUUUAUCUUUAACUUGCAAUGGAAUGCAUGUUUUGGAUGCGCAAGAUGAAAGUCCGUAUAAAUUGUUCAUUUUAUCUGAUUCUAUUGAAAAGGAAUGGAAAUGUAUUGUUGAGUAUGGUAUUGGCAAGAUUUUUGAUGAAGAACGAGUAAAUCAGCACCAACAAAAUCUAGAAUUGAGUGAUCAAAAGUCGACAUAUCAUUUGCUUGGUUGUGUUGAUCAUGUGGAUUAUCUAAUUUAUGGUGUGAAAUUUCCAUGUUUUCAUAAAUCUUUUCGAAUGAAAUUUAAAGGGUUUGCUUGUUUGAAUUUGAGUAUGCUAACACCCUUGUUGUUUAAUUUGUGUAAAUUGUUGGAGAUAAAAGGACUCUUAUUGCCAUUUGGAUCGAGUAGUCAAAAUCAUGUCUUUAAUCCUGGAGUUUGUUAUUAUGAAUCAUCCAUGAAAGAAAGCAAGUAUCGUAAAUUUUGUUUGAAUGAAUGUGUAAACAAUCUUUGUUUGUAUGAUGCUUUGUCUUUAAGUUUGAAAAUGAGACAUGUGAAUCUUGUUGGUUUGGUAAGUCAAAAUCCAAAUUUUGUUUUCGGAGGUUGUUCUCAACUAUGGUCUAAAAGAUCUGAACAUGUUUUGCAUGAUAAUCAUUUUGAGAUGUUUAGUGUUCUUUCUAUGAAGUCUGUCAUGAAAUUGCUAAAUCAAAUUGAAAUGGCAAGAGAAAAUUUUGUUUUUGACCCUGGAAAUUAUUAUUCUUUGUUCUUGUUAAAAGGGCUUGGAUUCUGUAAUUCUGAUCUUCGAGAUUAUGCCUUUCGAUUGUUUUGUGAUUUAAGUUUGUUUCUAUCGAGAAAAAGGUACGAACAAUUUCUAUUUUUGACCCUGGUAUCGGUUUAUUUGUUCGAAUUGUGAAUCAAAUUUUGGAAAGUUCCUUUGUGUUUAAUCUUCAUUGUGUCACUAAUUUGUUUUAUUCUUUUAAAGGUGACAAUGUGAAGUGGUACCCUCCUAAAGAGGGAGGGCAUGCGAAUGAGCUUCUUUUGAUCCGAGUCAAUUGUGGCUUUCAGAAUCAUCAACGAUUUUUUGCGAGUAAAUGGCCCGAUUUGGGGACAAAUCGCUUUAAAGAGGGAGGGGAUGAUACGGCCACACCUUGGGCACACUUUUGGACCAGCUCCUUAAGCAUUGUUUGCAAAUCCAUGCAAGCUGAAUUAGUUCAAUUCCUUCUCAUUGAGCUCUGUUUAGCUUGUUUCCAGCUCACUCGAGCUCAAGUCAACUCAUUCAAUCUCAAUUCAGCUCAAUCUUAACCCAAUGAGCUUAUUUUUAGCUUUCUUUAGCUUGCAUUUAUUUUCCUGAAAUAAACCAUUUAAUUUGUCUUUAGUUGAAUUAGUUGUUUAUUUUAAGUUAAUUAAUUUGUUAAAUCUGGAAAAAUAAUUAAUUAAGUGUUUUAAUUAUAUCUAAAUAAAAUACUUAAUUAAUUAUGAUGUUUUAAAUAUGUCUGAAAUUGUUAAUAUGUAUGGCCAAAUUUAAUGUGCAAAUUAUUGAGUUCAUAUGCUGCUAAUUUAAUGUGUUUGAAAUGCAUUUAACUUGCUGAUUUAAUUUGCUGCAGGUUCAUGAACGGAUUGGUGCAAUGUAUGGGAGUGUGCAUGCACAAUUGAGGUUCAAUGGAUGGCAUUUAAAGGAGCACAUGCAUUUGGGACGUUCAUGCAAGAGGGAGUUGCUGAAAGUUCAUGUAUUUGAAGAUUCAUGGAUCAUAUUUAUGGGGGAAAAUACAUGGGACGUUUCAUGCAUGAUUCAUGCAUUUUCAAGAUGACCAUUCAAGUAUUUUAGGCACAUUAAUGCCUCAUUCAGCCAAGGGAGAUGUAGGAUCAUUAAAGAGCUGCACAUUCAUGGAAUUAUGGAGAUUCUUCAAGGCUAAGGAUGCAUGAAUGCAUCAAGUGAAGCAUCAUGAUGGUUCGGCCAAUUCAUGUACCAUUUUCAAGCAUGAACUGAAUUUUAAUGCUUUUUGUGUGAACAUGUUAAAUACCUGUGUGAACAGAUUUAAGUUAGUGUGAACAACAUAGAUGCCGAAUAUCAAUAGGCAUUUUAGGCUUAUAAAUAGCUUACUUGUUUAUUGUAAAAGGUUACAGAAUUUGAUCAAUUAAACUUAAUAGAACUUUUGUUCUUGUGAGGUUACCUCCUCUCUUCUUUCGUUCGAGUCUCGAAGCGACUUAUCUAGCUUGCUAGUGGUGUCAAUCCGAACUCCAUUGAACUUAUCACCGAAUCGGUGUGGCGUUCAACCAUCUUCCUAUACCUUUGGUUCUCACCUCCAUAUAGGUAACGGGUCAAGGUCCGCUUCUAUCCUUCAUCAAAAUUCACCUUAAGCAAUAUAAGACUCGGGGCAAUACUUUUUAGUAUUGAAUCAUUCUUAAAGUUUGAGUUCUUUAUCCAUUUCCAUUUAUUUAUCAUCUUUAUAACUUAAUUCUUUGUUAAACCGAACCUAUCUUUCAUCAAACCAAAACCCAUCCUUUGAACCCAUUUUGCCUACCUUCCACUUAUAAAACAUUCAAACUCCAUCUAUCUACAAAUUUGAACGAGCUUCUCGUCGACGAUCGGGCAUCUUAAGUGAACCCGACUCAAUUAAUCGGGCCGGAUCACAUCAAAAGGUACGAGCUAAUAUUGAGGCAAGAACCGAGUCUUACGUGCAUAAUGCUAACAAGGGACGAAAGCGAGUGGUCUUCGAACCCGGAGAGUGGGUUUGGGUUCACAUGCGCAAGGAGCGUUUUCCAGCUCAACGAAAAUCAAAAUUAUUACCUAGAGGAGAUGGUCUUUUCCAAAUUCUUGAGCGCAUAAAUGAAAACUCUUACAAACACGAUUUGCCUGGUGAGUGAUAUGAUCUCGGUUUAGUAGUUGAGUCCGAGUCGUUUGAUUCCCGAUCGUAAACGAAGAAGUAGAUUAGACGAGAAGGAGUUAGAAUAUAUUUGUGUACAAAGAAGUAAGAUAAGUUCGUGCAAAGUUGGAUGUGGAUUUGGUUUAAGUCGAAAUGGUAUGAAUAGAAUGGAAGAGUUUGGUUUAGGAUAAUUAAGAAAUGGUAUUUGGUUUUGGUACGUUUUGGUAUUUGGAAAUUGGUACGAAAUGGUAUGGAAUUGGUAUGAAAUGGUAUGGUAUUUGGUACGAAUUGGUAACGGUUCAAAGAGGUCAAGAAUGAACCAACACUAAAGAAAAGUGUCGACCCGAAACUUAUAGGACCUAAAUGAAUUGGAAAUGGUUAAAAAGAACCUUGACCCGAUACUUAGGAAAGUAUGAACCAAAGGUAUCAAAGGUGAACGCCACACUCAGGUUAAGGAGUGAUAAGUUCGGAAAAGACUCGGAAAGACGCCACUAAAAGCUUAGAUAAGUCUUACGGGCCUCGAACGAAAUUUGAGAGAAAAUGCCUCACAAAUUUGGCAGCAAUUCGCUAAUUAAAAUGUCAAAAGUCCCUUUACAAAUUGAAUUUAACAACUAUUUAUAGACAAAGACUAGGCUAGCCGAAUAGUCAUAUGAAUGCUUAAGAAUUAAGCAAAUGAAUUCCUUUAAUGUGCUUAACUAAAUUCGGCUGAAUGGAGCUCCAAUGGUCAUCUUCUAGAAAGAGCAAUGAACUUAGAAGCUUGGAAAGAUGCAUGGCAGCAGCUAGGUUCGGUUAAUGGACUUAAACAAACUCAAUUAAUUGGCAACUUUUGUUGAAAAGUGAUCAGCAAUUAAAGGAGGUAAUGAGCAGCCACCAAGGUGUGAAAACUCAGCUUUGAAGAGUCAUGGCAUGUGAACAUAUAGAACCGAACAGCCAAGAUGAAUCCAGCAAUGUGAAAAGAAUUAAAAGUCGGCUGAAUGGUCAACUUGGGAGUAGGAAACAAUAGCUUCUUUGGCCGAAUGGUCACCUAGGAUACUUCAAACAGCAGCCAAAUUUAAUUCCCCAAACAUGCAUGUGCCGUCCCCUUACAUGUAUCUUCUUUUAAUUCAUUCAUGCACCAAGGAUGUCCAAAUGGGAUGUACCUACAGCAAAAUUUAUUCAAUAAAUCAAAUACAUUUUUAAACACAUUAAUUUGGCAGAAAAUGACACAAAAAUUAUGCACAUUAAAUUCGGCCACCUUAGGACAUAAUUAAAACAUGUAAUAAAAUUGACACAUUAAAACAUGCAUAAAAAACAUAUUAAUGAGCUGUAGAAAUUAAGACAAAUUAAUAACAUAUAAUUAUAACUCAAUUAUCAUGCAUAAUUAAAUUUGUCCAGAUUUUAAACCAAAUAAAUAAUGAAUAUUAAUUGAGCUGUAAUAAACUAAUUAAAUGACUCAAAUAAUUAUUUCAGCUACUAUAAUAAGGUCUUAAUGAAAUUGAGCUAGUUUGAGCUCAUUGAGCUUGAAAGGAGCUGGAAACGAGCUAAAUGAAGCUCCACAAAAUAAGAUUGAGCUACGUCCAGCUUGCAAACACGAUGAGCCUCGCUUGUAGGCUGAAACAAUAGCCGUUCCCGGGGGCGGGUCGUAUCAGUGAGUUUAACGUUAGUGCAACUUUUAAUGUGUCAGAUUUAACCCCUUUUGAUACAGAUUUUGACUUGAGGACAAGUCAUUUCAAAGAGGGGGGAAUGAUACGAUCGCGACCUGGAGUGCAGUAAGUUUGAGCAAGGACUCAAUGGUGCUGCCUCAAGGACCAAUUACGCGAGCUCGAGCUAAGCAAUUCAAGGAGGCCGUUUCGGCCUUAGUUAAUCAAGUGUGGGGCGAGGCUUUGGUUGGAGAAAUAGAUCGAGUUGGGACCAGCUUAAUAAAGUGUCCUUGCAACAUUUUGCAAACUAAUUUCAGCUCAAUUUCCGCUCCUUGAACCCGUUCCAACUAAAUUGAACUUUUAUUUAUUUCUUUUAGCUUUGCAUUUAGUUUGCAUUUUAAUACUUGCAUUUAAGCCUCUUAGUUUAAUAAAUGAGUUGCUGGUCAUUAAUACAACUCAUCUUAGUUUAAUUAAAUGAGUUUAUUUAAUGAAUUUAAUUUAAUGAGUUGCUUCUUUAAUUAAUCUAGUUACUAGGUUAAUUUAUUGGUGCAUGAGUUAAAGUUCAUUAAAUACUUCUUUUAAUUAACUAGUUGAUUGGAAUAAAUGAUGCAUAAGUGUGUGUUCAUUUAUUUACAUAGUUGUUAAUUUGUUUAAAGUUUAAUAAUUGAAUAAAUGUGACGGUUACAUAAGUUUUAAUUGCAGGUGACUUUUCAAUUCACAAAGGCUAUUACGCAUUCAAUAAAGGAGACUUUUCAAGUUAUUUUGGUUACAAAAGAGGGGGCUGUUAUAAAGGAAGCAUUAAGCAUCAUUAAAAGAGAGUUUAAAGGAGCAUUUCAUGUCCUUUAAAAUCUGGUAGCAGCUUGUUCAAAUACCCCAACGUUUUUUUUGCUACUUUUUGGACAUUUUUGAAUGAUAUUCUGCCAAAUUUGUGAGGCAAACUUUUCUCUGUUUUCGUUCAAAGAUUUAUUGGCUACCUAGUGUUCUAGUUGUGUCAUCCAUUUUCUUUGUUGAAAACUGAACUUAUCACUACUCGUAGUGUGGCGUUCAAACAUAUCAAGGUUCCUACUUUGCUAAGUAGCGGGUCGAGGUUCUCAUAUUCUCCAUUCGACCACCUUGAAAACUUAUAAACAUUUGGGUCAAUAUUUUCUAAUAUUGGUUCGUGUCUGUUUUCGAGAUCAUUUUCAUUUCCAUUCCAACCCAUCUUUUCGUUUCAUUAUAACCAAACCUACAAAAACUUUGUUAAAACAUCCUUUUGAACAAAUCAAUGCUACUUCUUUGUAGACGAUCGGGCAAACUCACAUACGACUCGACUCACCCUGAGGCGGAUCGUAUCAUCGAAUUCACGUAGUUGCCCGAUCGUAGAUGAGAAGAGUCGUUCGUGCCUCAGUUUUGGAAGUUGAAGUGAAUGGAUAGGUUUGGAUAAGCGAAAGGUUUCAGUAAUUGUAAGAAUAGUGACAGGUUCGACUAAGGGUAGAAAGGAUGGUUGGUGGAAGGGUGGUUCGAUUUUGGUAAUGAAAGAAAGAAGUUUGGGAAAGUGGGGAUGGAUUAACGAACUUAACGUCAGGAAUGAUUCAACACUAAAAAGUGUCACCCCGGUUCCUAUAUUGUUAAGGUGGAAAGAGGGAUAGAAGGAUAGGUAACGCCACACCAAGAAUGGUGAUAAGUUCAAACAUGGUCGAUUGAAGCCACUAGCACAAACUAGAUAAAUAUUUCAAAACUUGUAUGAGAUAUGAGAGGAAGCAACCUCACAAGAGCAAUGUUCAUUCAAUAAUUUGGAAAAAAGUCCUUUUACAAAGAAAUAAACAAACUAUUUAUAGUCUAACAAGUGAUAGCCGAAUGGUCAAGUUAACUAGCUUAAAGGCUAAGUAAUUUAGCUAAGAUUGCACUAGAAUAUUCUAGAAUAAAUCAUUACAGGGUGAAGUCCACAUUCGGCUAAUUGGAACUUCAAUGGGCAGCUUUAUGGUUAAGCAAAAUUGACUUGGAUGAAUGUGAAUGAAUGGCAGCUCAAUAGCUUGUCUAAAUUCGUCCAUGGAUUGAUUGGAGCAUUAAAGAAGUGUCUUUUGGCUGAAUAGACACCUAGGGAAAUCAUUUGGGCAGCAAAUGAUUCAUGUAUCAAGAACUAGAUGCAUUCUCCCAUUCGUUGUAGCUUGUUGUCCAUGCAUCUUCUCUUAGGCUUUAUUCAUGAAUUGAAUUUAGAAAUUAAUUUGCAGCUACCCUUUGGCCGAAUAAGCACUUAGGAACACCAAUGGUUCAUCCACAUACAUUCGGCCAUGCAUGGAACUAGAAGAGGGACUUGAAUCUGGCUGUACAUGAACAUUCAUUAAAUGCUUUCCAUUCAUGCAUGUGUGACGUCCAAAGUGAAUGUAUCUUCAUGGAUUCGUUGUAUCAUCCAAGUGGGAAUGUAUGGUAUUAAUCCAUAUACAUGUAUCCAAGUCGUCCAUGAACAUGAACUUAAUUCCUCCAAACAUUGAACCGAAACAUGCAUGAAUUUCCCAAUGCAUUGAACUUGUUCGUAGAUGCACCUAGCUUUUAAUGUACCUCCAUAAUCGGUUGAACCUACAAAGACAUGAACACAUUUAAUUAUAUCAUUUAAUCAUAAUUAAACAGCAACUAACAACUUAAAUAACAACUUAACUAAUUAGGACAAAUUAAAUUAAAAUUAACUAGCUUAUUAAUUUAGCUAGCUCAAACUAAAUGAAAACAUUUAAUGAAUUAUUUGAGCUAGGAUUUUCGUUAUUGAACUAUAGCAAACUAAUUAGUAUAAAACUAAAACUUAGUUUAAUUUAUUGAAAUAAAGAAUGACCUGAAAGUAAGCUCAAUUGAGCUCAAACGAGCUGAAAUGAGCUCAAAUGAGCUGAGUUGAGCUGGAAAUGAGUUAGGAUCAGCUUGCCAACAAUGCACGGGUUUUUGGAUAGUUGCUUUGAGCUGAUUUUGUGAGCAUUUGCCCUUGUUUCAAACCAAGGUGAUACGGGGUUGUGCGCGGACCAAGAUCGAGUUGCCAAGUCACGGAAAACUCCUACGAAAACCCUAAACAAUUAGAUCUGAAACGAAACAGAAAAUUAAAAGAUUAGAUUUUUAAAUUUUCAGAUCUGAAAUAAAAUCACCAAAACAGUAAAGAAUCAAAUAGAGAAUGGUAAUAAGUGUUAGGGUUCUUGAAACCCUCAAGGAGAUUGUGAUUCUGCCCAAUUGAACACCAAGAUAGUUUUCCCCAAAUUUCGACAAUCUAAUUUCACCCAAAAAGAGUAUGGAAAAACCCUAGAAAUUGGGGAUUUUUGGGCUGAUUCCUUAAGAUAGAAAAAGGCUGAAAACACAAUAAGAACAGAAAAUAGAUUAGAUAAUGAUUCAGCACAAGUAGAAAUAAAGAAAGAAUUGACAGUAAGAAAUUAAAAGAUAAGUCCUAAGAAGCCUUGAAAUCUUGAAAGAUCUCACAACUCCCUUCAAACGGCUCUAAUCUCCCCUCCAAAGAAUAUCAAUGGCAAGAAGAAGGUUGAAGAUGGCUCCCACAAUCACAAGAUUGUUAAAACAACUUCUAAAGAAAACUCAAGAGAGAAAUCUUGGAGAAAACUCAAAGAAAAUUCUGCUCUCAACAAAUCUAAAAUUUUAAUAAUAAUGAUAAGUGUUUAACAAGGUGGACAGCCAUGCCUUUAAAUAGGCAUUAUAACUAGUCCUAAUCUAAUUAGAAAACUAAAAUAAAAAAACUCCUAAUUAUUUUAAUAUGGAAAUUCGGUCAAAGGUCAUUUUAUCUGGGACUCUUGGACUGAAUAUUGACAUAAAAAUUUAAACUAAGUAAAUAAAUAAAUAAAUAAAUAAAUAAAAAUAAAACUUUACAACUUGGGCCACUUUGACAAUUUGGCCUGAUUUUCAACUAAGUAUGGAUGGAUUUCUUGAUUGGGCUGGGAAUUUGCUUAUUGGGCCUCGCCUUCAAGAAUUUGGGCUUUUGUGACUCGUAUCAUUCCCCCUUCCUAAAAAUGAUUCGUCCUCGAAUCUGAAAAAUCAAAUGAACUCGACUUUCCUCUAUCGAAUGGGACUAAUGGCAAUUGAGUCCACUGAAAAGAAUAGCCAUGAGAUAGUAAAUAGCAACGGAAACAAGCUUGUAGUCCAAUCAUAAGCAUAACAGAACAGGUAUAACGCAUGUGAAUGGACAGAUUCAGAUUACCAUGCAAACAAACUAAUUUACUCACCACUGCCUCGUCAAAUAUUUGAAACAAAGAUGGACAUGUUUUAAGGCAUUCAGUCGUCUCACAUUGUUCCCACAAACCAUGAAUAAAUUGCGAGUAAUAAAUCAAAUGGUAAACAUAAUCGUCACAAGUAGGUAUUUGAAAAGAUUCACAUGGUUCACAGAGUUGCAUAAUCAUACCAUGCAUUAAUCGACGGUCUAUAGAUUCACUCACACAUGCAUUAUCAAAAACAAGAAUCUUUUUAUCAACCAUCAAAAUAGAUAGAUCAUCAAUAAAUAAAAUAGGACAGUCAAGCACGUUUCGAUCUAAGUGUUCAUCAACACGAUCUUUAUCACUAUCCGAGGAGUACAAAAGUGUUUCAAAGGUUUCAAGCAUCUUACCUCGAUAAGUAGAAGAAUAAGGGUCGAUUUUACCUUUUUCAUUUAAAACAAACCUUCGCUCAUCGGGGGCAUAGUGUAGUCGUAUCUUCGUUGUUGAGUUAACGUUUGUCAAAUGGAGCUCAAACUUCAUGUACAACCACAUAAACUGUUUAAGGCACGAAUAUAAAUUGAAAACAAAUUUGGAAAAUUUCGUUACCUUAUUCUCCAAAACAGAUUUGGACAAAUUCGAGGAUUUUACACAAGGUAAAUCAAGAGAAUAACAAAUCACGCUUCUUUUCGUAAGGACUUUAUCAACCACAAUCGAAGAGUAACAAUUAAUCGGAUCAAAAUGAGGGGAUCUUUUAAGAACUAAGUCACCAAAAGUUUUAUCAAUAAUUUUCAAAUCUGCACUGGACUCGGUUUCUAAAAUUUCCUUACCUCGCUUACCUUCGGGAUCAUGUAGUGUGAUUUCAUCUUUGCUUAAGUUGAUCGUAUGAAAGCGUCUUUCAUUUGAGAGGUAUUGAAGUUGAAAGUUAUCUUUCGAUCUUUCGGGAACCUGAAAAGUAGCAACACAAGAAAAAUUCAUAUCUUGGUUAGUGGAAACAUUCCUCACUAGCCUUUCCUCGUCUUUUUCUUUUGUUUCUUUUUCUAACUCAUUUUCUCUUCUUUCUUUAACUUCUUUUUCAAUUUUCUUUUUUGUUUCACAUUCCUUUUCACUCUCAAUCUCUUUUUUCUCUUUUUCAUUCUCUUUUUCUUUUUCCUCACUUGUUUUAACAACAGAAUUUUUCAGUUUGAUUUGGUCCUCAUGGACUUGUUCCGGAGUGAGCGGUACUAAGGUGAUUUUCCUUCCUUGAUACUUGAAAGAAUACCUAUUGGUACGACCAUCGUGAGUGACUUUUCGAUCCAGUUGCCAUGGUUCUCCUAGCAACAAAUGGCAGGCUUGAAUAGGUACUACGUCGCACACGACUUCGUCUUGAUAUUUACCGAUAGAAAAGGCGAUGCGCACUUGUUGAGUGACCCUAAAUUGGCCUUCGUUGCUAAGCCCUUGUAGUUGAUAAGGUUGUGGAUGCUUGGUAGUGGUUAAGCAAAGCUUUUCCACCAUCGUCGUGCUGGCUAUGUUCGAGCAACUUUCACCAUCAAUAAUAACUCUACAAAGCUUACCUUGUACGUGACAGCGAGUAUGAAAGAGAUGUUCUCGUUGCUGCUCGCUCUUUGGUUUUGCCAAAGAUGAUUGUCCAUGAUCAUGACAAUCAUCAUCCAUUCUAGGGACACGUUGAGGGUUGCACCUAUGGGGCUGGUUAUCCCUAUCUUCCUUAAUUGGAUCUCGAUAUUGAUGUUUUUGAUUCACUCGUACCUCAUUCAAAGUAGUAGUCAACGCUCGAAGUGCAGCAGCCUGUUCGUCCAACUGUUGUUGGAAUUUUUAAAAUAUGUCACUAUUAUUAUCACCUGUUGACAUUUUUUUUAAAACCUGCAAAACACUCAACACUCAAAAAUAAAAGUUAUCAAACCUCACCGUUAAUCACUCAAAAAGAAAAAAUCAAAUUCUCAAUGAGGUCGAAUUCAAUCUUGUGAGUUCUUUAUCAGAGUUUAUAUCAACCAAUUAGAGAGUGUGAACCAAACUACCAAAGAAUCCUAAUUUGCACUAGGAUGCCAAAAACUGACGAGACACCAAUUGAUUCGUGUUGCACCGAGGAAGAAGUUGUGCACAGGUUUAAAUCCUACUAACACAAGAAACAAGAAGGUGUUAGAUAAUGUAAAGGAAGAAUAAAGGUAAACAAAUGAAAACCUACAGCUAAGAAUCAAUAAAAAUUGCUAAAACCAGAAAACCCGAAAAACUGCGGAGUAACUUGACAACUUCGUUAGAGGUGUUCCCGAUCUCCAAAAAUCACAAAAUUAAAUCUCGAAUGUCUUAAAAUAUUGAAUUUUUGAUCUGGAAAAUUUUGGCACCAAUUUCAGAUUUGAUUUGAGUGAAAAUUCUCUUUGAGUUCUUCAAGGAUUUUCUCUUGAGUUUUCUUUAGAAGUUGUUUUAACAAUCUUUUUGAUUGUGGAAGCCAUCUUCAACCUUCUUCUUGCCAUUGAUAUUCUUUGGAGGGGAGAUUAGAGCCGUUUGAAGGGAGUUGUGAGAUCUUUCGAGAUUUCAAGUGAUGCGAGUCACAAAAGCCCAAAUUCUUGAAGGCGAGGCCCAAUAAGCAAAUUCCCAGCCCAAUCAAGAAAUCCAUCCAUACUUAGUUGAAAAUCAGGCCAAAUUGUCAAAGUGGCCCAAGUUGUAAAGUUUUAUUUUUAUUUUUAUUUAUUUAUUUAUUUAUUUACUUAGUUUAAAUUUUUAUGUCAAUAUUCAGUCUAAGAGUCCCAGAUAAAAUGACCUUUGACCAAAUUUCCAUAUUAAAAUAAUUAGGAGUUUUUUUUAUUUUAGUUUUCUAAUUAGAUUAGGACUAGUUAUAAGGCCUAUUUAAAGGCAUGGCUGUCCACCUUGUUAAACACUUAUCAUUAUUAUUAAAAUUUUAGAUUUGUUGAGAGCAGAAUUUUCUUUGAGUUUUCUCCAAGAUUUCUCUCUUGAGUUUUCUUUAGAAGUUGUUUUAACAAUCUUGUGAUUGUGGGAGCCAUCUUCAACCUUCUUCUUGCCAUUGAUAUUCUUUGGAGGGGAGAUUAGAGCCGUUUGAAGGGAGUUGUGAGAUCUUUCGAGAUUUCAAGGCUUCUUAGGACUUAUCUUUUAAUUUCUUACUGUCAAUUCUUUCUUUAUUUCUGCUUGUGCCGAAUCUUUAUCUAAUUUAUUUUCUGUUCUUAUUGUGUUUUCAGCCUUUUUCUAUCUUAAGGAAUUAGCCCAAAAAUCCCCAAUUUCUAGGGUUCUUACCGAUUCAUCCAUACUCUUUUUUGGGAGAAAUUAGAUUGCCGAAAUUUGGGGAAAACUAUCUGGGUGUUCAAUUGGGCAGAAUCGCAAUCUCUUCUAGGGUUUCAAGAUUCCUUAUUAACACUUAUUUCUAUU